rnacentral:lncRNA from 1 species
GAGGAAAUAACCACACAAUAAUCUGCUGCCCGUGCGUGCUUCUCUGGAGCUUGGAGGCGAGGCGAGGCCGGGAAGAAGAUGACAAGACGGUUCUUGCCUCUUUGCGCGCUCCUCAUCGUGCUGCUCUGCAUGGCGGCGAGCCUCGCGGAGGGGAGGCGCGGCGGGGGACGCUUCUUCACCGGCGGCGGCAGCGGCGGGGCCAGAGGGAGAACUUCCGGCAGCCCACGCGGCCUAAGCGGCGGUACCUGGGCGGCCUGCGUCGGAUCCUCGCUGCUGGUCGCCGCGGCCAUGCUCUAGCUUGCAGCGGCAGGAAGAGCUCAAGAAGGUUGACUCAUUGGGGGAAUGUAAAUGUUCUGUGGAUUCGUUGGUUCUUUAUUACUACUGUCGAUUUUUUGUUGUUAUAUAUACUUACAGAUACAUCUGAUUGAUGAAUUCGUUUGAUAUGUUUUAUAUCUUGAUUAAGUGGACGCAGUUUGUUCAUGUCGAGAUAUUGUAUAUGUGGAUGUGCACGAUCUGUUGUCGUCAAAGUAUUGUAGAGAACCAAGAGUGAUUGCGCAGUGUGUUUAUCAUCAACAAAUACUACUCCCUUUGUUUCAAAUUACUUGUCCUUGUUUUUAGCUCAAAUGUUAACUAUGAUCUCGGCAAGUAUUUUAGAACGAAGAAAGUAUCAUACAAACAUACUUUCUUUUCAUAAUAUUUCAUAGAAACACGUUGUCGAAACAUAAUGUGGUUCCGUAAAAUACAUACAUGUAAAUAUAUUAGCUUUAAUAUUGAAAGAGAGUCACAUAAGCUCAUAUCAAUGGGCUCGUUCGCGUCGCUCUCGAGGGGAGCGGCCCGAGCGUGACCUAGCGCCGCCACGGCUACCACCUCUGACGCUCCACCCUCCCCCCGCCUGCUGCCAGCAGACGUCGCUGCCGGGCAAAGCCCGCGCACCAGCUGGCGGCGGGCCUCUCUCGCGCGGAAGCGCUCUGGGACCGGCCCUGGACGGCGCGGCUGGGUGCCGGGGCGGCGGCCCCGGAUUCGACCUGCAGUGGUGACGGCUGCAAUGGCUGUGGGGGCGGCCCCUCGGCGCGUUGAAGUGGCUAGGGAGGCUCGGUCCCCUGUGGUUAGGACUCGAUCUCGCUCGGCCAGACCUGGUUUCCGGGACUGCAUGCGGCGGCGGCUCCCGUCGGCGGUGGAAGUCGAGCAGCGGCCCCAGGCUCGGUCGUGGUGCUGCCUCUCCCGUCCUGCUGCUGGGGGGUCGUGUGGGGCAGCGUUGGGGCCGGGUUCGUCGAUCCGGCACCCAAUGCCCUGAUCCAGCGGUGUAGGCGCCCUGGUGUGUCUGUUGGAGUGCCCGGGGUCCCCUCCCUCGACCGGACGAGCUGUGGUGGUGGCGGCGAGCUGCAGCUUUGGAUGGUGGCGCGACGGCGCCAUGAGGGUGGUGGUGCGCCGGUGUGGAAGGUCCUCCCCGGCCAACUGGUGGAGCUAAUGUGAUAUGAACUACGACUCCCCCAGAUGCGGUGGUUGAUCUGCUCUGGUGUGAUGGGUUCUACGAUGUGGGUUGGGGGAAAUCCCUGCUUCGAUGAGGUUGAUAACGGCGACGUCCGCGGGCGUCGUUCCCUUCCUGAAGGCGUUGUCUUGGACCCGAUCAGACUACCUUCCUCGAACUCGGGGGAAACCCUUGGUUCCUUCGUACCGGACGACUUCUUGAAGGCGCUGUCUUGUUGCUCGAGGAACAUCGACGGUGCGGCUCGAGUCAAGGUCGACGGCUCUUUGGGCGUGGGCCCCCUUGGCACAAUGUAUGCCAUCUUCGGUGUUCUCUCUACGACACCUUUCCUUGAUCCGCCCAAGCCCAGUCGUUCACUUGCAGACUUUCCCUUGCACAUUUGGGUGGCGGUACGUUGGUUUGUGUUGGCCAUUGGUCUUGGUCUUGUUGUAGAGGUCUCGUCGUUGGUUGUGACGUGGCUAGGUUGCUUUGUUGCUUUCCUUAUUGUCUUUGACAUGAGGUUAGACUAGGGAAGCUUGUAUCACAGUAGGUAGUGUGUGUGUGUGUGUGUGUGUGUGUGAGGGUUGUGAAGGCUAAUCCUCAUGAUUAGCAUUGUAUUGGCCGAAAGGCCUUGCAUCCGGCUUCUUCGCCGCUUCUUCUUUAAUGAUAUGAUACACAUGCUUAUGCGUAUUUUAGAAAAAAGAAAGAGAGUCAGUGUGUACAGCCGUUCAUCCCACCUUCUCCUCCCUUCCUAGGGCAUCCCACCCCCAACUCAUCACCAAUGAAGCAAAUGUAGAGAAUCAUGCGAGGAAGACAAAGUUAGUAUGCUGACAAUUGGAAGCGCCUAACCCUGGAUUCCGUAAGAUGAUUGGAUGCCUCCUCAAGGAGAAGGCCAUCAGGGAUAAGAAGAGUGGCGGUGCUAGCUCCCGUCCUAUCAUUUUGAAGGACAAAUCAAACAAGUGUAAAAGCAAGAAGAGUGGCGCUAUACAAAAAGCGUCCGCAGUGGCUUGAUGGAUGGCUCUCGGUGUUUUGAUAUGUUAUCAUGGUUGUGCUCAUGUCUGUGGCCUAUGUCGAUGUUUGUUCUUCAAGUUAUCAUCAGCGUGUGGAAACUCACUUGUGAAGUUGAUUAUCAUGUGCAAGGGGGUUGUAGGGGUAAUGUGAUAGGGGAGCUUGUUUGUUUUUAUUUAUCGACUUGUGGUCUCAUGAGUUGGGAGUAAUCUACCUAUAUCAUGAGAUUGUGGCUUGGUUGCCGUUCGUGGCAAGCAUGUAACUUUUUUGUGUGAUUUUCCAUAAAUUAACUGGACAACUCUCUUCUUCUUAAAUGAUGCAAAGUUUUUUGCUUCCGUUUUAUAAAAAACAAAGCCAACAAAGAUAGAAGAUGGAGAUCACUGUGGUACAAUGGACCAUGGCACGUCCGCCAAUGGAAAACACAACUUCAAAAGCAUUAACUUUACAACUUUGUUUGAAACCCUGAAAAUCCAUAGUAAAUUGUAGGAACGUUAUUCUCGUACGAGAACUUCAUUUCCUUUCCUUUGGAACGCAAUAAUCGUAGGUAAAUUGUAGGAUAUGAAUCAGGUCCCUUUGAUUUUUAGGGCAUAUUUGUUUCACAUGAAGACUGGAUUAACUACCAUGCAUGGGAGGUUCUGUGGACCAUCCAGUCGUCGAUAGCUGCACCGUGAUUCAUGCGAGGGAGUGCAAUUCACACAUAUUGUUUUCAUAUGAUUCAAAGACUGUAGCAAUUUUAUCUUUUGAACACGGUUAGAUUUAUAAUUAGUUUGCACAUUUGUGUUUCUGGUAAUGAAACCUUCCAAACAAAACCAAUCUUGAAUAUAUUUUGACAAGAUUUAAAUUUUGAAUUUGUAAACUUUAUGAAACUUAGAGAUACACGGUACAACAAAAAAUAACCUAAUAAAAUUUGAUAAUACUAUUCUACACCAUUUUAGUCCGUUAUAUUCUAUUUCGUCUUGUACCAAUUAUGUAUCAUGUUGUUAAAUAGUGUGUCAAAUGGUCGAUAGAGAACUUGCUGAAACUUGAUGUAUAUAAUGUUCAUCACUAUAGACCUUGAUGAAAACUAUAUAUGCUUUACACAGAACAAUAUUGUUUCACUAUAUUUCACAAAGUUUCAUCGUGUUUCAGCUUUCAUUUUCUAAAACUUGUCAAAAUGUAUACAAGAGUGGUCUUAUUUCAGAGUAUUAUUCACAAGGAACACUAAAAUGCAGACAUAUCAUAUAUUAGACUCUCGAUUAAAUGGAUAAAUUAGAUUCAAACCUAAAAUCAAAUGAAGAAGGCAUGAGUGAGUGGAGUAUUAUAUGUGCAGUUUAAGAGGGAAAUAGGGAGAGAAAUUGACCAAUGCACGAAAGGUCCCCGUGCGGUAGAAUCUCUUUUCUCGUUUCACAUGGUCAACUAGACAUUUUUUAGAAUUUAUGUUAUCAUGGUGGGAUUUUAUCGGAAUCAAAGACACUCGGUUCAAAUAAUUGCUAGUGCCCCCCCCCCCCCNNNNNNNNNNNNNNNNNNNNNNNNNNNNNNNNNNNNNNNNNNNNNNNNNNNNNNNNNNNNNNNNNNNNNNNNNNNNNNNNNNNNNNNNNNNNNNNNNNNNNNNNNNNNNNNNNNNNNNNNNNNNNNNNNNNNNNNNNNNNNNNNNNNNNNNNNNNNNNNNNNNNNNNNNNNNNNNNNNNNNNNNNNNNNNNNNNNNNNNNNNNNNNNNNNNNNNNNNNNCACCUCCCCCCACACGCACACACACCAAAAAAAUAAUCAUAUAUCAUACUCAGGGCUGCUACACCCCCAAAAUCAGUUAGCCUACUAACAAAAGGAGGGUGAAUUCUUCCAAAAGAGAGAGAUACGCAUAGAGGCAGGAAUAAUCCUGAUCGAAACAAAGGUAAUGAAAAUAAUUUUCUUUUGCAGUUUUGCACAUGCUUUCAAAUACUUGUUGUGCACAAAUAUAAUACGUUUUCACAGAGAACGGACGUUUGGCUUCCGGGAGCCAUGGAGGCUGAAUUUUUUUGAAAAAAUAAAAUUCAAAAUUAUUGAUUCCAAAAUAUCUGAAAAAAAUUAUAUAACUAAACAAGUAUAUGAUCCGUGUGUGUGCAAAAUUUCAGGCGAAAAUACUUUGAGACACGAUCUGUACAACAAAGACAAAUUCAUGGCCUAAAAGGAUGAAUAGUGUCAUGUGUUAAAAAGCUUUAGAUUUGUCUUUUUUGCAUAGCCCUUAUUUUAACGUAUUUAGUUCUAAAAAUUUAGACACUUGUGUAUUAUACCUUCAUAUAUCUAUGUAUUGUUUUUAGAAUUUUUUGAAAUAUGAAAAUAUGAAUUUUCAUGAAAUUUGAAGUUUGAAUUUAAAGGUCUUCAUAGAGCUCGGGCUGCAAAAGCAAUUUCCAGUUUUCACAGUCCUACAUUUGUGUACAAAGUUAGUAUUUUAAUAUUCGCCGUCUUGGAACCCAUGACAUGUAUUUCCUCCGGUAAUUUUUACUCCACAUAUUAUAUUUGUCUGAAGACAAAUUUUAUAAAGUUUGACCAACUUUACAAAAUGAAAAUCAAUGUUCGUACUAUGAAAUCAGUAUCAUUAGAUGUGUCAUGAAUUUAGUUUUCAUAUUGUAUUAUAGAUGUUGAUAUUGUUUUCAUAUAAAUAUGGUCAUACACUCGUACUUUACGGAGUUCAACUUCAUCGGUACAAUUCUUAUAUGUAGAAUAGAAAGGGCCGGAGGAGGGAGUACUACUAGUCAACAGAUCUUGCUGGGUCAACUCUGGACCAGGCAUACAGAUCCAUGAGCACAGCAUCGAGUUGGAGGCGACAGCAACCACCCACCAAAUAUACAAGGGACAAGCUGCCUGCGCUGGCCUGAAUAGUGAAUACGUACCAUAUUGAAGAUCACAAGAUGAGAAGUCUCUUGCCUCUGUGCGCGUUCCUCCUCGUCCUGCUCUGCUUGGCAAGUCUCAUGGACGUCACUGAAGGAAGAUUCCGAGCACCCGAAGCAGCAGCAACAGCAGCAGCGGCGGCAGCCCGGGUAGCCUGAGCGGCGGUACCUGGGCGGCGUGCGUCGGCUCCUCACUGCUCGCCUCGGCACCCAUGCUGCUGUAAGCUGCUUUGAAUCGGCCAGCGCCUAGCGAUUCUGUGAUACGGCUGGCUAGCAGCUGCAGGCUGCAGCCCAGCAUAUGUGAUUUGUGUCGUGUGCAAUUUAGGGUCAAGAUGCAUGGAGUUGAUAAAAAAAAAUCCUCUCUCUUUGUCUCCUUCGGAUGACAGCUUUAUGUGACUACAGUUCACACUGUUUUAUAUAUAAAAUAAAGAUACAAACCUAAAUAUAACACGUCAUCAAUUCACACUCAAGAUAAGAUACAAAGAUACCAAUACAUCAUAACACUAUCUAAUCGGCCAUUAAACACACUACAUAUGAGUCAAAAAGAACCACUUGGGGCGAUGAGGACCUCCCGAGAACUAACCAUCUAGAAAAAGUGAAGGAGGAUAAUGACGAAGCAUGGACUUCAAGUCGAUGCCUUCACGAAGGGCAUGUCAUUGAAUUGUCGCCGCCGCCCGAUCCCGAAGAUCAAGUUUUUCACCCAGAGCAACGUGAAGAGACAUGAACACCACGACAAAGCCUUCAUGAAGGAAACAACGCCCGCAACCGCCACCACCGUCUGCCGGAAAAGACAGGGCAAGUUAUGCACUUCCGUGUUAACCAUCCGUUUGCAAAACCACCGUGCUACGCCGAACAUCACCAACCAUGCCACCCGCGUAAACAUGGCUGCCCGACCACACCCAAGACGCGUGCUCCGCCCAUGAACACCGCGUCCAAGCAACUUCGUGAACCCCUGAAUGCCUUGGCUUUGGCCUAACUGGUAGCCCCCAACGGACAGAGCAACCAUCAACCGUCGUGCCUCGAACAUUACCAAAACCACGUCGGAAAGCACACAACCAAGUAAAGGGGGAGGAGCAGCGGACACAUCUCGAUUGGUGAACCCCCGCACUGGCGACUGGUGGCCCAACAUCGGGGCCUCCCAUCCCUCGUGAGAACUCCCCACCAGGCACACCCCCGUGUCUCCUCACUACGACAGCCAAUGUAGAUUGACGUGAGGCCACCAACAACUUUUGGCCCGUCGAUAAGGAGCGCUAAGACAUCCCUCACCCGCAGCCAAGAGAGCCCACCGGAGGGCCACCCAGCGCCACCCGCCGUCGUCCAGGAGCCGGACCAUGGGUCCCGAUGCUUGCGAUCUGCGUUGGGUUUUCCGUGAAGAGGAACGGGUGAUGCAACACAAUAUAGGUAAGUAUUUUCCUCAGUAGAGAACCAAGGUCUAUCGAACCAAUAGGAGUAAUAACCAACCCCCGUCUCCAGCAACUGCACACAAAAGAAACAAACACUUGCACCCAACAUAGGCAACAUGAAUGUCAAUCCCCUUGUCUCUUUAUCUGCAAGCAAGUGAUGUGUGUAGAUAGAACUUGUAAGUGCAAAGUAAAUCAAAACUAAAUUAAGGCAGUGAUGUAUUGUAGCAUUUGUAAACCUAUAAGUGAAUAGACCCCGGGGCCGUAGUUUUCCCUAAUGGAAUCUCUCAUGUAGUAGGGAUACGGUGGGUAAACAAAUGACUGUUGGGCAAUUGAUAGAAAAGCGCAUAGUUAUGUGAUAUUCACGGGAAUGAUCAUAUGUAUAUAUGCAUCAAGUCCAUAAGCAAGUAGGCCGACUCUUGCCUGCACCUAUUACUAUUGCUCCACUUCAAGAGCGAUGACAAAUAAAGUAAUGCUUGGAGAACGAUGACAUGAUGUAGACAAAGAGAACUCAAUCUAUAUGAAUUAACCCCAUAGUUUUAUCCUUAGUGGCAAUAAUACAAAUACAUAUGUUGUCCCCUUCUAUUAGUAGGAUAUAGAAACCCGUCAGAUUGAACCCACUACGACGCUCCCCUCUCACUGAAGAAAUAUCAAUCUAGUUGGCCAAACUAUUUCAAUAGAUCAGAGAGAUUUGUGAAGCUAUGAUAAUCAUGCAAAUAAGAAUCAUAAUUAGAAUUCAGAGAAGACUCAAAUCAUUAUCAUGAAUAAUAUGAACAUAAACCUACAAUUCAUCAGAUCCCAACAAAAGCACCCGCACUAUAGGAUUACAUCUGAUAGAUCAAAGCGAAGAUGCGAUGAUCAUUGUAUUGAAUAUCAAGAUAGAGAUAGCCAUUUAGGUACUAACUACGGACCCGUAGGUCUAUGGUAAACUACUCACACAUCACCAUGGGAGCAUCAAGGUUGAUGUAGAGGUCCUCCAUGACCGAUCCCCCUCUGGCAGGAUACCGAAAAAGGGCUCCAGAUGGCCUCACAGCAGAAUAGAGACUUGCGGCGGUGGAAACAAAAUGUUUCGGGUGACUCCCUAGGGGUUUUGGGGUAUUUGAGAAUUUAUAGGAAGAAGAGGUACGUCAUGAGACGCCCGAGGGGGGCAGCACACAACAGGGCGCGACCACUCCUGGGCGCGCCCUGAUGUGUGAUGUCUCAAUCAUGCAACAUCCCGUCUCCUCUCAAUGCUUCCAGAUCUUCUUUUGGUCCAUAAAAGAUCAUAAAAAGUUUCGGGGCAAUUGGACUUCGUUUGGUACUGUAAACCUGAAAAUCCAAAAACAUGUAGAAAACAACAACUAACACCAGGCACUAAGUUAAUAGGUUAUUGCUCACAAAUGAUAUUAAUUGGUAUAUAAACACACAAAAAUCAUCCUAGAAUGAUAAUAUUACAGCAUGGAACAAUCAAAAAUCAUAGAUACGUUGGAGAUGUAUCACGUCUCGCCUGGAGCUCGUCCAUCACGCACCACUCGAUGGAAAGCACGCCCAGUCGCCGCGCCACCCACAGACCGUCGAUCGUGCGGCACGCCGCAGCGGACGAGCCUACAUCCGCAAGGGAGGCACCGCUCCUGUCCUCGGCCGCGAGCACGCCAGAUAUGGCUGAGCAUAGGUAAAAGGACGUGGAUGUUGCCUAGAGGGGGUGAAUAGGCGCUUUAAAAUAAUUAUGGUUUAGGCUUGAACAAAUGCGGAAUAAAACUAAUGUUUAAUUUGUCAAGCACGAAACCUAAAACAACUAGGUUAACCUAUGUGCAGCAACAACUUAUGCUAAGCAAGAUAAACAACUAAGUGAUAGCAAAGAAACAAUAUAGCUAUCACAAAGUAAAGUGCAUAAGUAAAAGGCUCGGAUAAGAGAUAACCGAGGCACGUGAAGACGAUGAUGUAUCCCGAAUUUCAUACACUUGCGGAUGCUAAUAUCCGUUUGGAGCGGUACAGAGACACAAUGCUCCCCAGGAUGCCACUAAGGCCACCGUAAUCUCCUCACGCCCUUGCACAAUGCAAGAUGUCGUGAUUCCACUAAGGGACCCUUGAGGGUGGUAAUCGAACCCGUACAAACAAGGUUGGGGAAAUCUCCACAACUUAAUUGGAGGAUCCCAACAACACCAUGAAUCUUCACCACAAUCGAAUAUGGCUUCAAGGUAACGUCAAAUGCUCGGUCCAAUCUCCACAACCUAAUUGGAAACCCCGACACUUGCCCGGAGCUUUACACCACAAUGAUUGAGCUCCAAGGCAUCACCAAGCUUCUAGGAUGCCAAAGCACCCAAGAAGAACAAGUAUUAGGGUACCAAGCACCCAAGAGUAAUAAGCUUCUCAAACUUCACUUCCACGUAUCACCGUGGAGAACUCAAACCUAUGCACCAAAUGCAAUGGCAAGGGCACACGAAGUGCCCAAUUCCUUCUCUCCCACAUACCUCCACAACAAGUAAUGAUACGGAAGAAAAUGAGAGGAAGAACAAAAAAGAACAUGAAGAACUCCAAGAUCUAGAUCCAAGGGGUUCCCCUCACAUAGAGGAGAAAGUGAUUGGUGGAAAUGUGGAUCUAGAUAUCCUCUCUCUUUUCCCUCAAGAACUAGCAAGAAUCAUUGGAGGGAUUGAGAGUUAGCAAGCUCGAAGAAGGUCAACAACGUGGGGAAAAUAUGAGCUGAACGGAUAGAUAACCAUUGAGGAAGAAGACCCCCUUAUAUAGAGGUAGAAAAUCUGACCAUAUUCUGCCCAUAAGUCGUGCAGGAGCGAUAGUACCACUCUGGGGAGCGGUACUUCCGCUUGAACGGAAGUACAUGUCGUGCAACCAACAGAUAGGCGACAAGGGGAGCGGUACUUGCACUGGAGCGGUACUACCGCUCCAACCAGCGGUACUACCACUACUCACUGACAAGGAAGAAACAAAGUAGAAGUAUCGCUUAGGGCGGUACUACCGCUAAAAAAUAAUUGCUAAGCACAACCAAAAAUCUGGAAACAUAAGUGGAAGUGAGGCCGGAAGUAGGGAGCAGCAGUACCGCCUAAGCGGUAGUACCGCUCUACUCCAAGUGGUACUUCCGCUUGAGAGAGAAAAUUGUCUUCCACUAAAACAACCAUAACUUUCGCAUAGGAGCUCCGAAUUGGGCAAACUCAAGCUUGUUGGAUUAAGGACGACAAGAGCUAUCCAACAACGCUUGGAAAUCUUAAGAACAUGCACUUUAUGAAAAUGCCAAUGAUAUAGAGACGUGAAACCUCUAUGAAUGAAGAAUCGACAAAAACUCCAGCAUCGAAAACAUCAUAGAGAUUCACAUGAACUCCGUUUUCAAUGAACUCGAGCUUGUCAUAAAGAUGACCAUAAGCUCUAAUACUCGUAAAUAGAAACACCAAACAAGAAACAAAGAAAGAUGUUGCAAGGAUGCAAAUGGUUUGAGCUCUCAACGAACAAUACGAUAAAGCUACUCACUUGAGAGCCCCCCUUGACAGUACAUCAAUCUAUCCUAAAUAGAAAACCUAUCAAGGGCAAACCUAUAACUUGCACAUAGUCCACUUGAGCUAGAUGAUGAUGAUCUUGACUUCCUCGAGAUGGACCACCUUUCUUGAUUGCACUGGCUUGAUGAAGACUUAUUGAUUGCUCCCCCAUACUCACUAUGGCUGAGCCACUCUUCAACACAUCUUCACAAGUCCAUUGCCACCAACAAUGGAUGGCAAGCUUCAAGCAUGAUACCUUCGUGAUGCUCCACUUGAUCUUGCAUAGUGCAAUCAUGAUGACGAUCACCACAUGAUGUCAUACUUCAUGGGUUGAAUGAGAUCUUCCUCUUGACGCAAGCCCAUGGAAACACACUUAACCCCACAUAGACUCUCACGAAGACCAUGGGUUAGUACACAAAAGCGUAAUGGACAAUGCUUACCAUACCAUGAGAUCACUUGGCCCCUCUCGGUACAUCUUGUACGCUUUGUGUGUUGAUCAACUUGAUUUACUCUUUAUCUUAGUCUUGAUCAACCUUGUGUUUUAUGACCAUUCUUUGGAUAAUACCUUGAAUACCACCUUGGUCAUCAUAUAAACUCCUCGAAACCAACAGAUGGACUUCAAGAAGUGCCCAUGGACAAAUCCUACAAAUAUAACUUAAGGAAACCAUUAGUCCAUUGGGAUUGUCAUCAAUUACCAAAACCACAUAUGCGGAAAUAUGUUCUAACAACAGGGCAGGCCACUACCACAACCACGGGCUCGAGAUCGGCCCAUAGAGCCCACCGCGCUACCACCAGGCCCUCGCUACUCCGUUGCCGCACCUCUCACCAUUGUGAAGCACCGCCAAACAUUGUUGAACCACACCAACUUCCUUCAAGCGGGAUGUGAAGGAGCCCCACCGCCACCGACGCUAGCAGGCUUUGCCGCCAGCGUGCCCCGACAGAGACGAGGGUGGAAAGGUAGGAAGGGCGUCUCGAAGCCGGCGGCUAGGUUCCCACUCCCCCCGGUCACCACACAUGAGUGACAUGGAGGGAGAGGAGGAAGGCCCAAGGUGAUGGACGGGAACUACAUGGAGCAGAAUAAAAAGGCAAAGGUAACUGAGAUGCUAGGUCUAGCGAUAUAAAUUUCGUAUUUUAGAUUAAGGUCAAAUGACGUUUGAGUAACAUAAAUAUGAACAAUACCCUUACGUUUUAUAUGAGAGGUAGUAGUUUUCUCCUUUGGAAGGAGGGUAGGACGUAAGAGCAUCUACAAUCGAACCCCUCAUAUCUGUCUCAGAUGCCGGGCAGACUGUCCCCAGUCACAAAAACACGAUCAAACUGGAUCCCUCAUACCCGUGUGAAACGCUCGGACUGACUGGCACCCCAGAUAUCCAUCUCAUAUUUGAGGACGAUAUGAGGGCUCGUGGACGCGCCCGGGCACGCCCGGUCAGUGCACCAUGUAGGACGCGACCCCACCGGAACCAUCUUUUCUCUUUCUGUAUUUUUUUAUUUCUCUCUCUCUUUUCCACCAAUCACGUGCAAGUCACCGAACAUAUGAGAAAAAUAUGGGAAAUGCGGCUGCACGAACGAAAAAGUAGAGGCUUAAAACGGACACGUCGGGUCACUAACCGGACACACCCGCGGACGUAUAGGGGGUCAUAUUUGCUAUAUCGAACUGUAGAUGCACUAAUAAUUCGUGAAUAUACUAAAUCCUGCUAAUAUAUUUCGUGACAUUGCAAUGGAGAUCAUGAUGGGGAACGUUGCAUGGGAAACAAAAAAUUUCCUACGCACACACAAGACCUAUCCAUGGUGAUGAUCAUCUAUGAGAGGGGAGAUUGGAUCGACAUACCCUUAUAGACUGCUAAGUGGGAAGCAUUAAGAAACACGGUUGAUGUAGUCUAAUGUCUUUGCGAUCCAAAUCGCAAGUCGUCCCACGAACUCCGUCCCGAUCUAGCGCCGAACGGACAGCACCUCCACGUUCAGCUUGAUGAUGAUCUCCGCCUUCUUGAUCCAGUAAGAGGGGCAAAGAAGUAGAUGAGUUCUUCGGCAGCACGGCGGCGUGGUGGUGGUGGUGAUGAACUAAUCCAGACGGCUUCGCCAAGCUAUGCCGGACUAAUCUAGACGAGAGAGACGAUCUAUGGAGGAGAAGGCAGCACGUGGCUUUUUUGGUGUAGUUUGCCCUCAAAACCUCCACUAUAUAUAGGAGGAAUAGGAGGGAGGGCUGCCUUGCCUCCUACUCCAAGGAGGAGGUCUAGGCCGAGGCAAGGGAGGAGAGUCCUCCUCCAAUUUGGUGUGGUGGAGGACUCCCUUCCUACUUGGCCACCUCCUUCCUUUUUUUCUUUUUUCCUUUUCCUUUUGUACUUGGCCGAAAUAGGUCCUCUUGGGCUGGGUGCACCAGCCCACUAAGGGAUGGUGCACCACCUUUAGGCCUAUUAAGUUCUCCCCCGGGUGGUUGUCCCCUCCCGGUAAAACCCCAGAACCCAUUCAACACUCCCGACACUUUACCGGUAAUGCCCGAUAUCUUUUGGAAGCCAAAUGCAACUUUCCUAUAUAUCAAUCUUGACCUCCGCACCAUUCUAGAGCUCCUCGUGACGUCCAGGAUCUCAUUUGGGACUCCGAACAACUUUCAGUCACCAACAUACAUAACUCAAUAAUACCAAAACGUCACCGAACCUUAAGUGUGCAGACCCUGCGGGUUCGAGAACUAUGCAGACAUGACCUGAGACACUCUCCAGUCAAUAACCAAUAGCGGUACCUCAAUGUCCAUAUUGACUCCUACAUAUUCUACAAAGAUCUUUAUUGGUUGGACCUCUAUGUCAAGGAUUCAGUUAAUCCUGUAUAACAUUCCCUUUAUCCUUCGGUAUGUUACUUGCCCGAGAUUCGAUCGUCGGUAUAUCUAUACCUAUUUGAAUCUCGUUACCAACAAGUCUGUUUACUCGUUCCGUAAUACAAAAUCCCGUGACUAACUCUUUAGUCACAUUGCUUGCAAGGCUUGUUUGUGAUGUUGUAUUACUGAGUGGUCCCCGAGAUACCUCUUCGUCAUACAGAGUGACAAAUCCCAGUCUUGAACCAUGCUAACUCAAGACACCUUCGGAGAUACCUGUAGAGCACCUUUAUAGUGACCCAGUUACGUUGCUUCAUUUGAUACACACAAGGCAUUCCUCCGGUGUCAAUGAGUUACAUGAUCUCAUGGUCAUAGGAAUGUAUACUUGACAUGUAGAAAACAGUAGCAAUAGAAUAACACGAUCACAUGCUACGUUCAUAGUUUGGGUCUUGUCCAUCACAUCAUUCCCCUAACGAUGUGAUCCCGUUAUCAAGUGACAACACUUUUCUAUGGCUAGGAAACCUUAACCAUCUUUGAUCAACAAGCUAGUCAACUAGAGGCUUACUAGGAAAGUGUUUUGUCUAUGUAUCCACACAUGUAUUCGUGUUUCCAUUCAGUACAAUUCUAGCAUGGAUAAUAAACGAUUAUCCUGAAAUAGGAAAUAUAAUAAUAACUAUUUUAUUAUUGCCUCUAGGGCAUAUUUCCAACAGAUCAUAAUCAAGGUUAUUGCGAACUAACCUCAUGGUGGAACCUGUCCACGUGUGUUCAAGCCUCAGACUUGUAUUGAUGCCUGCAAUUUUCUCAAAUUAUUAUAGAAUUUAAUGGUUUUAUAUAUAGGUUAUGUGUUCACCGACAACCAUACACAUGUGAUGACUUCAUCAAUCUCAAGUCUAACCAACUCAAUGUUUAGGAGGUGUUCAUAGAGACAAAGCGGACAUGGAUAUGAGUGUAUGUACAAAUUUGUGAGUCUGUAUUUGAGGUUCAACUCCCGUGACAUACUCAAGGCGCACUUGGGUCAUCGACAUGUGGACCACCCUGCUUUGGACCCACGUGUUAGUGACCCAACUACAUCUAGUACGUUAGAGGAUCCCUAUCAACAUUUUUACCGUGUUUCGUAAAAAUGGUUUGUCCAACCAAAAUUCACAUGUUUUGUCGUUCGUUAAACAAGCAUGUCAUAGCAUAGUCAAUAUUUUAGCAACUACUGCCUUCUCCAUUGUCACCUCCUAAGAAAAACAUUUCACAACUUUGUCUCAUUCCUUCCCUAACCUAGAUAGUUAGGGUAAACUCUUCCCUGUAGACAUCAUCGGGGAACCUGUGGAUUCGCCUCCCUGUUCUCUUCCGCUUUGACGACCGGUGGCAGGGAGGGAAAUCCUGGCACCUUGCUACCUCAAAAAGAUCCCCGACGACAGCGCUAGAAAUACUUCUGAUGUUAGCUAUGCUUCCCUUGCAACGGCGCCAGAAAUUGUCGUGUCAAUGGCACAAGGAAUCCUUUAGCUGUAGCUAUGCCUUAAGGGACUUCCUAGGCAAGUAUGCAAAGGAUUUCCCCCGUGGCCUUGGAGCCUUGCGUUGGUGUUCCCUCGAAGCGGAAAGGGUGAUGUAGCACAGCGGUGGUAAGUAUUUCCCUCAGUUUGAGAACCAAGGUAUGAAUCCAGUGGAGGAGUAUCUCAAGAUCCCGCACAAACACAAAAGCUUGCUCCCAACGCUAUGAAGGGGUUGUCAAUCCCUUAUAGAUUGUUUUCCAAGUAAGAACUGAAAUCAACAAAGUAACAAAGCAAAGUAAAAGCGGAGGUGUAAACGAUGGAUGUGAAUAGACCCGGGGGCCGUAGUGUUUACUAGUGGUUUCUCUCAUGAAAACAAGUAGACGGUGGGUGAACAAAUUACUGUCGAGAAAUUGAUAGAACCGUGCAAAGUCGUGACGAUAUCUAUGCAAUGAUUAUAUCUAGCUCAAAAGAUAUAAGUGAAGCACAUGUGAGAUGAAUUGUCUACCAAAAGAUAUAAGUGAAGCUCGACAAAAUCACGAUGAGUGCAUGUCUCUCUCUCUAGUGUGCAGCAAGGAUGAUUGUGACACAACAAAAAUAAAAGACUCCUACGAUACAAGACGCUCCAAGAAAAAACACAUAACCUGUGGUGAAUAAAAAUAUAGCCCCAAGUAACGUUACCGAUGGAUUGAAGACGAGAGAGGGGAUGCCUUCCCGGGGCAUCCCCAAGCUUAGGCUUUUACGACAUCCUUGAAUCUCUUGGGGUGCCUUGGGCAUCCCCAAGCUUGAGCUCUUGCCACUCUUUAUCUUUUUGUCCAUAAGAACUUCAACCAAAACUUGAAAACUUCACAACACGAAACUUAAACAGAAACUCGUGAUAACAUUAGUACAAGAAGCAAACCACCACUUCCUUAGGUACUGUAGCAAACUUAAAUUCCACUUGUGCUGAUGUUGCGUUACUGUACUUUCAAUCUUACAUGGCUAAUACCCCCCCCCCCGAUACUAUCCAUAGUUUCAUCAAAAUAAGCAACCAACACAACAAAAACAGAAUCUGUUAACAGCAGACCAGUCUGUAGCCAUCUGUAUAUUUCGUAUACUUCUGCUACUUCACAAAAUCUGAAAAAUUACGAAAGUCUGAAGAAUUCUCGUAGCAAUCAGCAGCAAAAAGAANAAAAGAAUCAACUCAAAAUCUCUUACAGAACAAAAAUGAAAAUUAUUUUCGUGAGCAGAAAGUUUCUGUCUUUUCCAGCAUGACCAAACGAUCAUCCCUAAGACUAAUCAUAACGUUUUUGCUUGGCACAAACGCAAAAAGAAACACAAAUAACACAAUCAUAACAGAAUUAUGAAAGUGUGGAAAACACAAAACAGAAAGAAAAAGGAUAGAUUCGUCGGGUUGCCUCCCAACAAGCGCUUUUGUUUAACGCCCUUAGCUAGGCAAAAAGUGAUGGAAUCACGUAUAGUCAUCUUUGGUGCUCAAACCAUAAGUAGUGUGAUCAUUUAUCAUCUUAAGAUUUUCAUAUUUAUUAGAUUACUCACCACUAGCUUUAGGAACAAAAACAGGCUUGACGGUCUUUUUGAGAAUAAGAUUUGGAGUAUUUUGCACAGCGGCAAAAGCGGAACCCAAGUUGGUUAUGCCAUCUUCUAAUUUGCCAAUUCUAGAAGAACCAUUGACUAUAAGUUCCUUAUCCUUUAAGUUUUUCAAAAAGUUUCUCACUUUGGAUCUGUACUGAGAAAUUUGAUUGUGGAUCUUUCUAUCCAAACCCUCAAUAAGUUCAACUGUGGCAAUUUUGUUUUCAACAGCGUCAAGCCUUUGCAUCACAUGUUCAAAGGUCAAGAUAGUUCCAUUAACCAUGAGCGGGGGUGAGCCUACCAAAUUCAUGAUAGCUCUAUAGGAGUCAACAGUAUGGCUCCCCAAAAAGUUCCCGCCUACAAUGGUAUCAAUGAUAUACCUAUUCCAAGGAGAAAUUCCAACAUAGAAACUGCGAAGGAGGACGGUAGUGGAUUGCUUACGAGUAGAUCUACUUUGAGCAUUGCAAAUCCUAUACCAAGCGUCCUUCAAAUUUUCUUCCUCAUUCUGCCUGAAAUUGAGAACUUCAUUUUCAGGGGUGUCGUUUGGAGUGGUGGGCCUAGCCAUUGAUGGACUAUCUCAUGCACAAACGAACAGGAAGAGAGAGUGAAACGAGCAAAAGAAAACGUCAAAAAGGCAAAAGAAAACGGCGAAGGAGAAAGGCAAAUGAAAACGGAAAAUGUGAAGUGGGGGAGAGGAAAACGAGAAUCAAUUGGCAACAAAAGUAAAUCCAAGAGAAGAGUUUGUGAGACUUACUUGGAUAGAUCUUGAUUUCUCCUCCCCGGCAACGGCGCCAGAAAUACUUCUGCUACCUCAAAAAGAUCCCCGGCGACAGCGCCAAAAAUACUUCUGAUGUGAGUUGUGCUUCCCUUGCAACGGCGCCAGAAAUUCUCGUGUCGACGGCACCAGGAAUCCUUCAGCUGCGGCUACGCCUUAAGGGACUUCCUAGGCAAGUAUGCAAAGGAUUUCCCCCGUGGACUUGGAGCCUUGCGUUGGUGUUCCCUCGAAGCGGAAAGGGUGAUGUAGCACAGCGGUGGUAAGUAUUUCCCUCAGUUUGAGAACCAAGGUAUCAAUCCAGUGGAGGAGUAUCUCAAGAUCCUGCACAAACACAAAAGCUUGCUCCCAACACUAUGAAGGGGUUGUCAAUCCCUUAUAGAUUGUUUGCCAAGUGAGAACUGAAAGCAACAAAGUAACAAAGCAAAGUAAAAGUGGAGGUGUAAACGAUGGAUGUGAAUAGACCCGGGGGCCGUAGUGUUUACUGGUGGCUUCUCUCAUGAAAACAAGUAGACGGUGGGUGAACAAAUUACUGUCGAGCAAUUGAUAGAGCCGCGCAAAGUCGUGACGAUAUCUAUGCAAUGAUUAUAUCUAUAGGCAUCACAUCCAAAACAAGUAGACCGAUACUGUCUGCAUCUACUACUAUUACUCCACACGUCGACCGCUAUCCAGCAUGCAUCUAGUGUAUUAAGUCCAUAAGAACAGAGUAAUGCCUUAAGCAAGAUGACAUGAUGUAGAGGGAUAAUCUCAAACCAAUGAUAAAAACCCCAUCUUUUUACCCUUGAUGGCAACUACUUCAUGUGUGCCUUGCUACCCCUACUGUCACUGGGAAAGGUCACCACAUGGUAGAACCCAAAACCAAGCACUUCUCCCAUUGCAAGAAUCAUAGAUUUAGUUGGCCAAACAAAACCCAACACUCGAAGAGACUUACAAGGAUAUCAAAUCAUGCAUAUAAGAAAUCAGCAAAGACUCAAAUAUAUAUCAUAGAUAAUCUGAUCACAAAUCCACAAUUCAUCGGAUCUCGACAAACACACCGCCAAACAAGAUUACAUCGGAUAAAUCUCCAUAAAGAUCAUGGAGAACUUUGUAUUGAAGAUCCAAGAGAGAGAAGAAGCCAUCUAGCUACUAACUACGGACUCGUAGGUCUGAAGUGAACUACUCACGAGUCAUUGGAGGGGCGAUGAUGGUGAUGAAGAAGCCCUCCAACUCCAAAGUCCCCUCCGGCAGGGCGCCGGGAAGGGUCUCCAGAUGAGAUCUCGCGGAAACGGAAGCUUGCGGCGGCGGAAAAGUAUUUUCGAGGCUCCCUUGAUUUUUUGCUGAAUAUUUGGGAAUAUAUAGGCCAAAGAUCUAGGUCAGGGAGCGGCCGGGGAGGCCACAAGCCCUGCCACCGCCGCCUCCCCCCUGGUGGCGGAGUGCGGGCUUGUGGGCUCCCUCGAGCCCACCUGGCUUGGCCCAAAGGCCCCCUGAUCUUCUUCCGUUCGGAAAAAAAUCAUUUCGGGGUUUUUCUUCCGUUUGGACUCCGUUCCAAAAUCAGAUCUGAAAAGAGUCAAAAACAUAGAAAAAACAGGAACUGGCACUUGGCACUGAAUUAAUAAGUUAGUCCCAAAAAAGAUAUAAAAGGUACAUAAAACAUCCAAAGAAGACAAGAUAACAGCGUGAAACCAUCAAAAAUUAUAGAUACGUUUGAGAGAUAUCACACCUCCACUUCAGUUGGUAGUUUAGGUUAUGAUUUUUUAGUCCUUACAUGUGCGGUGCUUGGAUGCAUGGCGUCGUUUCUUCCUCGAGUUUGUCUUUCAGGCUCUAAUCCUCUUCGACUUUGUUUGUCUGGCCGUAGUCGAUGGAGCUCUGGUAUAGAUUCCCAUCAUCUCCUUAGGACAGUGAGGUUAGAGUUUCUUGUCAUGUGGCGAGAUUUGAAGUCAGGUGCUUCAGAUCUAUGCAAGGGUUCGAUGACAACGAUUGUGAUUCCAAGGCGCUGGUCCUAGAGGCACGUGAACGAAUACUUUUUGGCUAUCAUCGACAAGGUCAAGCCAACUCCGAUAGGAGAGAGAUGCAUCGACAACUCAUUUUGAUGGCAUUAUUGGUCGUUCGGUGGUCUCAAAAUCUUGAUAUAGUUUUUAUAUGUUUGAGAUGCUUUGUACUUUCGGUGAACUUUUAUAAAUGAUAUGAUGUUUUUUUGAAAAAAGUCUACAACCAUAGCCUCAGUGCGUCAACUAGAUGUUGAACCUUUUUAUGAUUUCGGCUUGGGUGUAAUCAAUGGGAGAUGGUAGCACGGGCUAUCUUCAACCAGUUUGGAUGGCGGCUAAUAGGCUAGGUGUUUAGUCACUGCAGCUUGUUUCAGCUUGGCCGGAUGUGGCAUUUAUUAUGCAUUUUAUUUUAUGAUUUCGAGCUGUUAACUCUUUUGGAUUAUGAAAUUUUGGUGUACCUUCGUGGUUGUUGUUUUAAUAAUAUGGCUGCAUGCAUCAUCAUGAUGCAAAGACAAGGGGUGAUCCCCCUUUUAAAAAAAUGUUGAACCUUUUUAUGAUUUCGGAUUGCAUGAUUAUGACAUCUCCAUAUUGUAGAUUUUAAUCUUUGGGCUAAUCCAAAUAAGUCCUAACUAUGUAAUUUAGCAUCAGGAUGAUAUUUUUUCUUAAACAAAGCAGAAUACACAUGAAAGAAGAACAAAAACAGAAAGAAGGGAACGUGUCAAAGUAACAUAUGUUUUAUUGCACGUAGGAAAUGGCAAGCAACCCAAGAUAAAAAAAAAAUUCUUUGUGUGAAACAAAGGAAUUUGCUAAAACAAAAAGACUAAAUUUGGUAAAAUAUGUUUUACCUCGUAGACUAAAAUUUUGUUGCUAGGAAGAUCACCAAAAUCCAUCAUACUCGUCGAUUGCAUACUAUUACAUAUGUUUACUAGUAUAAGACAUUUUGGCCGUUCUAUUUGAAUUGCCAAAACGUCUGAUGUCUACUACGCAACCUUCUCCUUGUAGNAUCACCGCAGAUAGACACAUGCAAGACAUACAUCAAGUGUUCUCAAAAACUCAAUCCAAUAAGAUAACUUCAAAGGGGCAACUCAAUUCAUUACAAGAAGGGAGAGGGGGAAGAACAUCAUAAGAUCCAACUAUAGUAGCAAAGCCCGCGGUACAUCGAGAUCAUGACAUCUCAAGAACAUGAGAGAGAGAGAUCAAACACAUAGCUACUGGUACAUACCCUCAGCCCCGAGGGAGAACUACUCCCUCCUUGUCAUGGAGAUCGUCGGGAUGAUGAAGAUGGCCACCGGAGAUGGAUUCCCCCUCCGGCAGGGUGCCGGAACAGGCUCCAGAUUGGUUUUUGGUGGCUACAGAGGCUUGCGGUGGUGGAACUCCCGAUCUAGGUUUCUUUCUGGAGGUUUGUGGAUUUAUAGGACCAGAUGGCGGUGGAGUUGCGUCAAGUGGGCCCCUGAGGAGCCCACAAGCUUGGUCGGUGCGACCUGGGGGGCGCCUACAGGGCUUGUGGCUUCCUCGGGACCCUUCUCCGGUAUCUUUUUCUUUCGGUAUUUUUGAUAUUUUCCAUAAAAAAUCAUCGCGAAAGAAUUAUUCCGUUUGGGCUCCGCCUGAAAAAGGGUAAAAAACACUGAAAGAACAGGAACUCACACUUGGCACUGAAUUAAUAGGUUAGUCCCAAAAAAGAUAUAAAAGGCAUAUAAAACAUCCAAUGUUUGACAAGAUAACAACAUGAAACCAUCAAAAAUUAUAGAUACGUUGGAGACGUAUCAAGCAUCCCGAAGCUUAACUCCUGCUCGUCCUCGAGUAGGGAAGUGAUAAAUAAUGAAUUUUUGAUGCUUUCAUGCUACCUAGCAUAGAUGUCCUUUGUAACUCCUCUUAUGUGUCAUGAAUGUUCAUAUCCUUUAGAUUCAAAACAAUAGUUUGCUAUUGAUGUGGAGACAGUAAUACUCCAAGCAAACUAGCAAGGUAAUCAUGAACUUUCAAAAUAACAAGGCCAAAAGAAAGUUAUCCCUACAAAAUCAUAUAGUCUGGCUAUGCUCUAUCAUCCUUGCACAACGAAUUUAAAUCAUGCACAACCUCGGUAUUGGCCAAGUAAUUGUUUUCACACCUUUACUUUCUCAAACUUUUUCAACUCUCAUGCAAUACAUGAGCGUGAGCCAUGGUUAUAACACUACAGGUGGAAUGGAGUGGUGGAGGUUGUGAGACAAAAAAGGAGAAGAUGGUCACAUUGACUAGGCAUAUCAAUGAGCUAUGGAGAUGCUUAUCAAUAGAUAUCAAUGUGAAUGAGUAGGGAUUGCCAUGCAAGAGAUGCACUAGAGCUAUGACUAUGUGAAAGCUCUUUAGGAAAACUAGUGGGUGUGCAUCCAACUUGCUUGCUCACGAAGACCUAGGGCAAUUUUGAGGAAGCCCAUCAUAGGAAUAUACAAGCCAAGUUAUAUAAUGAAAAUUUCCCACUAGCUAUAUGCAGGUGACAAAACGAGAGACUCUCAAUCAUGAAGAUCAUGGUGCUUAAUAUGAAGCACAAGUGUGGAAAGGAUAUAGUAGCAUUGUCCCUUCUCUCUUUUUUCUCUCAUUUUUUGGUGGGCUCUUUGGCCUCUCUUUUUUUGUGGGCAUCUUUGGCCUCUUUUCGUAAAUGGGCUUCGCUGGCCUAUUUUAUUUCCUCACAUGGGACAAUGCUCCAUCAAUGAUGAUCAUCACACUUACAACUCAAAACUUAGAGCAAUGAUGACUCUAUAUGGAAUGCCUUCGGUAGUGUACCGUGACAAUGAUCUAGCAUGGCAUAGACAUCAAUGGAAACAUCAUGCUAGCUAUCUUAUGAUCAUGCAAUGGCAAUGUAGAAGUUGUGGCACAUGUCAUGUUGGUAGUUGCAUGGCAAUAUAUCUCGGAAUGGCUUUGAAAAAGCCAUAGUAGGUAGGUAUGGUGGCUGUUUUGAGGGAGGCUAAUGGUGGUUUUAUGCACCGGCGAAAGUUGCACGGCACUAAAGAAGAUAGUGAUGGUGGAAGGUGAAAGUGCAUCUAAACCAUGGACUCAACAUUAGUUAUGAAGAACUCAUAUACUUGUUGCAAAAGUUUUAUUAGUAAUCGAAACAAAGCAUUCAACGCAUACUCCUAGGGGAAGGGUUGGUAGGUAUAAACCAUCGCGCGAUCCCGACCGCUACACAAAGGAUGACAAUCAAUAAACUAAUCAUGCUCAAACUUCAUCACAUAGAGGUUCACCAUACGUGCAUGCUACGGUAAUCACUAACUUCAACACAAGUAUCUCUAGAUUCACAACACCAUACUAACAUAACUUAAAUAUUACCACAACCACAUCUCAAAACUUAUUGAGAGGAAUCAAGCUUCUCAUUCUACUCAAUGCACAUGAAGAUGGAAGUUUUCGUAACCGUUUGGAUAACUACCACUUUUGGGACUACUUUCAUAUUAUAAGCCAACUACCAAGCCACGCACCACUGUGCUCUAAAAGAUAUAAGUGAAGCACAUAGAGCAAAAUCAACUAGCUCUAAAGAUAUAAGUGAAACACAUCUGAGCUGAAUUGCCUAACUCAAAGGAUAUAAGUGAAGCUCGACAAAAUCACGGUGAGUGCAUGUCUCUCUAUCUAGGUGUGCAGCAAGGACGAUUGUGACACAACAAAAAUAAAAGACUCCUGCGAUACAAGACGCUCCAAGCAAAACACAUAUCAUGUGGUGAAUAAAAAUAUAGCUCCAAGUAACAUUACCGAUGGAUUGAAGACGAAAGAGGGGAUGCCUUCCUAGGGCAUCCCCAAGCUUAGGCUUUUUCGACAUCCUUGAAUCAACAUGGGGUGCCUUGGGCAUCCCCAAGCUUGAGCUCUUAACACUCUUUAUAUCUUUGUCCAUAAGAACGUCACCCAAAACUUGAAAACUUCACAACACAAAACUUAAACAGAAACUCGUGAUAACAUUAGCACAAGAAAACAAAUUACCACUUCUUUUGGUACUGUAGCAAACUUGAAUUCUACCUAUAUUGAUGUUGGACUACUGUAUUCUCACUUUUCCAUGGCUAGUACCACACGAUACUAACCAUAGUUUCAUCAAAACAAGCAACCAACUCAACAAAAACAGAAUCUGUCAAAAACAGACGAGUCUGUAGCAAUAUGUAUACUUCAUAUACUUCUGGCACAUCAAAAAAUCUGAAACAUUACGAGAGUCUGAAGAAAUUGCAUAGAAAUCAGAAGAAAAAAGAAUCAACGUAAAAUCUCUUACAUAAUAAAAAUGAAAAUUCUUUUCGUGAGCAGCAAGUUUCUGUCUUUUUCGAGCAUGAUCAAACAAUCGUCACCAAGACUAAUCAUAACGGUUUUGCUUGACACAAACACAAAAAGAAACACAAAAGACACAAUCAUAACAUAAUUAUGAUGGUAUGGAGAAAACAAAACAGGAAGCAAAAAGCAAAGGAAAAUUUAUUCACUGGGUUGCCUCCCAACAAGCGAUAUCGUUUAACGCCCUUAGCUAGGCAUUGAUUUCAAUGAUGCUCACACAAAAGGUAAGGAUUGAAACACAACGAGAGCAUCAUGGAGAAAAUGGCUAGCACAUUUAAGUCUAACCUACUUCCUAUGCAUAGGGAUUUUGUGAUCAAACAAUUUAUUGGAGCAAGAAUCAACUAGCAUAGGAAGGCAAAACAAGCAUAGCUUCAAAAAUUUCAACAUAUGGAGAGGAAGCUUGAUACUAUUGCAAUAAGUAGAAGCAUAUGAUCCUCUCUCAUAGUAAUUUUCAGUAGCAUCAUGAAUGAAUUCAACAAUAUAACCAACACCUAAGGCUUUCUUUUCAUGAUCUACAAGCAUAGGAAUUUUACUACUCUCCACAUAAGGAAAUCUAUUCUCAAGAAUAGUAGUGGGAGUAUCGUAAAAGACUUGAGCACUAGAAAUUGUGUCCACAAUGAAAAAGCAAGGUUUAGCAAAGGCGUUCUCGAGAGUAUGACAAGUUUUAUCAUCGCUCUUCUUUAAAGCAUAAGUAUCCUCACAAUAAUCAUCAUAGAUAGGGGGCAUGUUUUCAUCAAAAUGAUUUUGAUCAUUCAAAGUGGAAGAACUAAAAAGAUCAUCUUCAUCAAAUAUAGCAUCCCCAAGCUUGUGGCUUUGCAUAUCAUUAGCAUCAUGGGUAUUCAAAGAAUUCAUGCUAAGAACAUUGCAAUCAUGCUCAUCAUUCACAUAUUCUAUGCCAAACAGUCUACGUAAUUCUUCUUUCAGCACUUGAGCACAAUUUUCCUUCCCAUCAUGCUCUCGAAAGACAUUGAAAAGAUGGAGCAUAUGAGGCAUCCUCAAUUCCAUUUUUUUUGUAGUUUUCUAGCGAAAGAACAAGAAACAAAAAGAUUUGAUUGCAAGAUCUAAAUAUAUACCUCCAAGCGCUAACCUCCCCGGCAACGGCGCCAGAAAAGAGCUUGAUGUCUACUAUGCAACCUUCUCCUUGUAGACGUUGUUGGGCCUCCAAGUGCAGAGGUUUGUAGGACAGUAGNNNNNNNNNNNNNNNNNNNNNNNNNNNNNNNNNNNNNNNNNNNNNNNNNNNNNNNNNNNNNNNNNNNNNNNNNNNNNNNNNNNNNNNNNNNNNNNNNNNNNNNNNNNNNNNNNNNNNNNNNNNNNNNNNNNNNNNNNNNNNNAUCACCGCAGAUAGACACGUGCAAGACAUACAUCAAGUGUUCUCAAAGACUCAAUUCGAUAAGAUAACUUCAAAGGGGAAACUCAAUUCAUUACAAGAAGGGAGAGGGGGAAGAACAUCAUAAGAUCCAAUUAUAGUAGCAAAGCCCGCGGUACAUCAAGAUCAUGACAUCUCAAGAACACGAGAGAGAGAGAUCAAACACAUAGCUACUGGUACAUACCCUCAGCCCCGAGGGAGAACUAGUCCCUCCUUGUCAUGGAUAUCGUCGGGAUGCAGGGUGCCGGAACGGGCUCUAGAUUGGUUUUUGGUGGCUACAGAGGCUUGCGGCGGGGGAACUCCCGAUCUAGGUUUCUUUCUGGAGGUUUCUGGAUUUAUAGGACCAGAUGGCGGUGGAGUUGCGUCAAGUGGGCCCCUGAGGAGCCCACAAGCUUGGUAGGUGUGGCCUGGGGGGUGGCUGCGCCUACAGGGCUUGUGGCUUCCUCGGGACCUUUCUCCGGUAUCUUUUUCUUCCGCUAUUUUUGAUAUUUUCCAUAAAAAAUCAUCGCGAAAGAAUUAUUACGUUUGGACUCCGCCAGAAAAGGGUCAAAAACACGGAAAGAACAGGAGCUGGCACUUGGCACUGAAUUAAUAAGUUAGUCCCAAAAAAGAUAUAAAAGGCAUAUAAAACAUCCAAAGUUUGACAAGAUAACAACAUGAAACCAUCAAAAAUUAUAGAUACGUUGGAGACGUAUCAACGUCUUAUAUUAAGAAACGGAGGGAGUGAAAUUUAGUAACUAUCCCACAAACAUCAGAACAUAACGCCUCAUUUGCUAUCAAGAAAAAUACGAUAUCGUAGAAAAAUAAAAAAUAUAUUUAUAUUCUGUGAAAGGUCCGGUGUUAGCAUUCGAACAACAUACAUAUACUUCAUGAAAGGUCUAAUGCUAGCUUUCAAAUAACAUAAGUAUAGUUCAUGUAAGGUGUUAGGCAACGUGGUGCAGUUAUCUACCGAUAAAUAAGCAAUCACAACAACACGAGUUGGAGGGAUGGCACUGAUGGUGGAGCUCGAUGGAACGCAUAUAUCUCCUCAUGAAAGGACACACUUGCCACAAUUAAAGAGUGUGUUUUGUUGGGGGUAAUUAGAGAUAGAGCAUAUGAAUUGAAGGGGUAUGGAACUCUAAAUCCAUUGUUUGGUCUGGGGGAUUGGGAAUUGAGAAGGGAUUAGACAUUGUAAUUCAUAUUCUAACUCCCACCGUUUUAUAUGUGGGGGUGGGAGUUGAAAUGAAAUUGUUGUAGUGAGUCCACCUUAGCCUUUCAUCAUAACUUACGUUAACUUCUCUUCUCUAGUCCCAUGUUAAGUUUCACAAACCAAACAUAGAAAUAAAAUUUUGGUUCAAAUCUCCACACAUAAUUCCUAUCAUCCACCAUAUAGAGGAUUAGGAAUAAAACGACUCAUCACAUGUCCAAUCUCAAUACAACACUCUUUGAUCUAAACUCACAUUCCUCUUCUAAUAUUGCCAAACACAUUGUAAUUGGUUUUGGUGUUAAUGAUAGCAUGAUUAGUGAUGUCACUAUGUGGUUGAGUCUAUAAACAAUGUAUUGGAUCAUUCCAAGGAAAGCAAGCAUCAUGGAAGGCUUCCAACCAUAAAGUAAAAAAAGAGGCAUCUCAGUGAGUUUUGGCUUGUUUGGGUCAUUAGGAAAGCCAUAUUGUUGUGUGCUUUGGAGUAAGAGGUGGGAAUCAACUCACUUACGCACAUAUAUUGCAUCAACAGAACCCAUCCACAUUUAAGAGAGAUAUUCUAUAAAUCCCUCAUUUUGUAGCUAUUAUUUGUACCCUGGAAUCUCCAAGGACAGAAACAUCCAGCCAGCCUUUGAGUUGUCCUGCAGCACGCAACUCUCUGGAAAGCCUAGAUCAUGUUGAGAUUCAAUAUUGAAAGCUCUAGAACAUCCAUGUUACCUUUGGUCAGCCCAUGGGUUAUUCAGAAUCACGCAACUCUCGAGCUUUAGCUCUCUUGAAAGACUAGAGCUUGCCUGGAACUUACGUGACAACCCGGAGCCUCCAGGGCAUGUAAACUGUGUGUGUAUGAUGACCCACAAGUGUAGGAAUCGCAACAGUCUUCACGGGUAAGAUAACCCAAUUUAUUGAUUCUACACAAGGGGGGCCAAAGAAUAUUUAUAAGCUUUAACAGUUGAGUUGUCAAUUCAACUGCACCUAAAAUAUACUUGCUUGGCAACGAAAUAUUAGUAGCAACGGUGAUAUGGAAGUGAUGGUGGCAACGGAAAUAAUGGUGGAAAAGCAACAAAAUUAAAACGGCGAAAGUAAAGCAACUCGUAACCAGCAGUAUUAAAACACUGUAGGUUAGAGAGAUGGAUGUAUGGUCAUGGAUGAGUAACUUGGGGCAAGGCACAUAGAAAAGUAAUGAUCAUCUAGGCAUAUAUCAAACAUUAGGCAUGUAUCCCAAGGUAGUCGUGCGUGCUUGCAAUAAGAACUUGCACAACAUCUUUUGUCCUACCAUCCUGCUAUCAACGGUGCCAAAAGGAACUUAUGGAGAUUAAGGUUCUCCUGUCAAACAGCACCGGAACAAAGAAUUAAGAAUCAAUGGAUACAUGGAAUCCUCAAACUAUAGUUGAUGACGAGUUGAUGGAUAUACUUCUCGCCCCUCGUUGGUUACCCCAAGUGGAAGGUGGAGAUGUAGUCAGCAGCAGAUUUCCCUUACACGGGAACUGUAAGGUUUAUCGAACCAGGAGAACUCCUAGGCUCAACAAGUAGGUGUCUCCUGUCCUGGUCAGCAGAAGACGUGGACCUGCACACACAACAAAUAACUUUGCUCCCAACGAGUACAGAGAGGUUGUCAAUCUCUCCGGCCUUGUAAUUUGUAAAGGAUCAAAACACAAGCAGGAAGGUAAUAGUGAUUGAAACAGAAAAGUUAAUGAAAGCGGUAAAUGAUGGAGGUGUAAACAAUGAUGGUGAUAUGGACAGGAGUCACAUGAUGUUCACUAGUGAUGUCUAUCUCCCAAAAGACGAUAAACAACUAUGCUAGGGUAAACAAAUCAUAGUUGGGCAAUUGAUAGAAUUAUGAUCGCACCGCAAUGCUAAUUAUGCUACUUGAUAGUUAGAGGUUCAAUAGUAAUGGGCAGUACGCCAAGACAAGUAGACCGUUUAUUCAUCAGCAUCUACUUACUAAUCAUCCUCCUUGAUAUAUCUAUCGAGAACAUCUCUCCGGUAUUAAGUUGCGAGCCCCACCCAAAGUGUAAACUCAAAGCAGCAGACAACUGCAUUAACAAACUAUGCGUAAGGUAAAUAAUCCUUGCAACCGUGGUCAGAAGCACCGUUGUUUUCUCCCUGGUGGCAACAAGGACAUCCCCUAGUCUCAUGUUUCUGUCACUCAAGCUAGACAUCGAGGGGCAUGAACCCAGAAUCAUGCAUAACGCUCCCUCUUGGAGUUACAAUCUACUACUCGGCCAAAGAAAUAAAUAGCGACGGAGAACAUGCAUGAAUCACUAAGGAACAUAAUAUAAAAGGAUAACCAAAUAUAUAACUCACAAAAAUCUGAACAUAAUCUCAUAAUCCAUCGGAUCCCAACAAAGCGAGCAUAGCAAUAGCAAGAGAAUUACAUAGUUGCCUUGAUCAUGUAGGGCAGCUCACAAGGACUAGCCAUUGAAGCACAAGAUUGGCAAGAAGACAUCACAUAGCUAUUGGUCAUGGACUCAUGGUCCAAGCAGAACUACUCACGACACGUCCGGGAAGCGGCCAUGGCGGUGGAAAAGCUCCCGGAGGUCAAUCCUCCCUCCGGCAGGGUGCCGGGAAGAGGUCUCCUGACGCACCCGAUCUCGGAAGCGCUGCGGCGGUGGAACGAUGGAUAAAUUCGCGAUUCCAGAUGUUCUGGAAGGGUUUCCUCUCGGGACUCUAAAUAUAGGCCAAAGGAGGGCACCAGAGGAGGUGGGGCCCACCCAGGCGGCCUCAUGGUGCGGCCUAGGCCCUCGCCGCGCCAGGAGGUCGCCUGGGCAGCCCCUGGCCCCCCUCUGGCCCAUCUUCGGUGAUCUGAAAGCUUCUGUUUCGCUGAUUUUUUAUAUAUUUUUUCUGGAAUUUUUCUGGAAGACAAUAACAAGCAAGAGUUUAUAUCUACUAUUGAAAUUAUCGAAGUAAGAACAUAAAGGUGCAAGAGCUCUCGCUGUCCGUGACUCGAAUGUCUCCAAAUGGUGUUUGCGUGCAAGAAGUGGGAGAUUGGUUGAGAUCAUAAAAUAUUUUUUAAUUGAGAACUCAAUCUACUAAAAUUUACACUUGGUCUUCUUCGGAAUCUUAUUUUGACUCAUCCCCAGACCACUAGUCAGGCAUAAGUCAAACUGAUCCUCUCCCUUUCGACUUUGGGAUCCAGCUUGUUUGCUCAUGAAGACCUAGAGCUCAUUUGAGGAGGCUCAGCAUUGGAAUAUACAAACCAAGUUCUAUAGUGUAAGGUCUCCACAUAGUUAAGUAUGAAUGAUAAUCUCUAUGUAGUAACAAUAUAGCAAUGAAGUACGAGUGUGGAUCUCUCAAAGGAAUAGUAGUGUUGCCUCCUUCUCUCUUUUUAUUUCUUUAUUUCUUUUUCUCUUUUUUUUUAAUUUUUGUGGCCUCUUUGGCUCUUUAUUUUUUAUCUCUCAUUUCUCCUCUUUGGUAUCUUUUAAUUUGUCCUCUUUGGGAUCUUUUCCUCACUUAAGGGCAACACUCUAUGUUUUACAUGAAUAAAAAGAAGAUCGUCACACUUUAUAAGAAGUACUCAACAUAAAGACAAAUGAAAACUAUCAUGAUGUAUGCAAAUGUAUGCCUCUACUAGUGUAGUAGGAUAUGCAAUGUAACUAGCGCGUCAUGUAGCAAUAAUAAGGGCAAGACCCAACUAGCAUGCGGCUCCUCGAUCAAGCAAAAGCAUGUAUGACAUGAAGAUCAGGUCGUGAGAUGGUGGAUGUUGCAUGGCAAUGUAUUUCAGAAAGGCUAUGGAAAUGCCUUAAUAGGUAGGUAUGGUGGCUGUUUUGAGGAAAGAUAUAAUGAGGCUUAUGAUGACAGAGCGUAUCAUGCCAAGGGUUUGGAUGCACCGGCGAAGUUUGCACCAACUCUCAAGAUGAGAAAGGGCAUUGCACGGUACCGAAGAGGCUAGCAAAAUAUGGAUGGUGGAAAUGCCAACAAUCGAAUACUCACAUUAGUCCAAAGAACUCAUGCACUUAUUAUCGAUAACUCUCUAUCUAGUCAGGAGAUUCACAAAGAGACAAGUACCCCGAGGAGGAGUGUUUGGGGGUUUGCUUAUCCUUGCGCAUCCUCGACCCAUGAUAACGUGAGGGUACUCUAUAUAUUCCAACCCCUCCAGAGGUUAGCGAUCCAUCUAGUAGCUAGAGUUCUCAACUUUUUUUUGUUUUUGAAAAUACACACGGAUUUCCCAAAAUACGACACCAAUCACUAAUAGGCUCAACCCGUUGACACCAAUAUUCCAAACAUUACUCAAAUCAAUACCUCAAAACUAUUGAAAGUUACUACUAUACUUAAAUAGCAACCUCAGUUACCUACUUAUGCAAGACACACAACUCAGUGCAACAAGCAAACUCUCUAAACAAGAUAAGCAUGAUAACUCAAGAGAGUUCCAAAAGCAACCUAAAUAAAAGCUCUUAAUAAGAUAAAGCAUGAAAACUAAGAGCUAAGCAUGACAACAGCUAUGAAGAGAUAAAGAACACACAGAAAGAUAAGCAUGAAAACCUAUGUUGUGUUUUAGGGUGGAGUGGAGCGUGUUUCUCUCCCAAACAAAGAAUACUAGGUUCCAACUUGUUAUGAAUAGCAAAAAAAACUAAAACAAACUAAAAAUUAAAGAGCGGGACGCUCCAAGCAUAGCACAUAACAUAUGAAGUGCUAAAAAUAUAGCAUGGAGAAGGACGAACUGAUGAUUGUUGAUGGAGAAGGGGAUGCACGGGGGCAUCCCCAAGCUUAGAUGCUUGAGUCUCCUUGAAUAUUUCUUGGGGUGCAUGGGGGCAUCCCCAAGCUUGAGCGCUUGACACUCAUGUAUCUUCUUUCAUCAUCUUCCAUCGCAUACUUGAAAACUCCCUUCAUACGAAACUCAUCAUAAGCUAAUUAGAGUGGUUAGUACCCAUAAUAAAAUAAUUUAUCUCCACUGGAAAUAAAUAUUUUCAUGAAGAUCUACUGUUUCUCAAGAUUGCCAAAAAAAAUUGCAAAGAAAAAGCAAGCUUAAGAUUUGCAAAACGAUGAAAACGCAAAACGUGGCAGAAUCUGUGAAAAACAGACCAGCAGGUAGUAAAUAAUUUUUGCAGGGCACUUAUGCAACUCAAAUAAAAAACUCAGAACAAACACCAAAAAGCUAAUUGUAUAGAGCAUACUGUCAAAACAAUUCAGAUCAAAACGAUGAUUUGGUGAUUUUUGGUGAAUAUUCCGUCAAGCAGAGAGAAUCCGUUUCUGGACAGCAUGUCACAACUUUUGAACUUUCUUGUAAUCAGAGGCUAAAACUUGGCACAAAGCUUAAAAAUAUAGAUACAAUGAUGUUGCUACAGUAGUAACACACAUCAAGACCACUAAAAACUGAAAGUAAAAACUCAAGGUAAAGAUAACAAGGGUUGUCUCCCUAGAGCCCUUUCUUUGUAGCCAUAAAGAUAGGCUUAAGAUUUUAAUGAUGCUCUCGUAGGAAUAAGAGUUGUAGAACAAAAGAGAGCAUCGAGAAGCAAAUACCAAAUACAUUUAAGUCUAACAUGCUUCCUAUGCAUAGGAAUAUUGCAAUAGAAUAAUUCAUUUAAGCACAAAGCAAUAAGCAUAGGAAGGCAAAACAAGUGCAGCUUCAAAACCUUCAACAUAAAGAGAGUGAACUUGAUAUUAUUGAAAUAUCUAUAAGCAUAUGUUCCCUUCUCAUAAUAAUUUUCACUGGGAUCAUGAAUAAACUCAACAAUAUAGGUAUCACAUAAUGCAUUGUUACCAUGAUCCACAUGCAAAAAGGUACUCUUACUCUCCACAUAAGCAUAAUCUUUCUCAUUGGUAAUAGUGGGAGUAGGACUAUCAUAAACAACCUGAACACUAAGAUUAAUUGUGUAUUGGGGAGAUGGUGUUCAGCAAGGAGUAAUUCCCUCCAUGAUUAUGACCAGUUUCAUAUGGAUAAUUUCUCCUUAUGUCAUAUGUAUCUUUACAAUCACUAUAGAUAGGAGUUAUAACAUCAUCAUGGUAGAGAAGAGCAUUAUUAUUGCUAGCAACUAUAUUUGUAAACAUGAUGUCUUUAUUCUUACUAGCAAUAGAAUUAUCAAUUAUCACAUCACUAAUGGGUAAAGGACUUGCAAUCCUAUUAUCCCCAAGCUUAGGGCUUCCCAUAUCAUCAUUUUCAGAGUUGGUACCAAAAAGAUUUUCAAGAUCAUAAGUAGCAUUAUCAUCAUCUUCCCAAUCACAAUAAGUAACAUGCAUAUUAUAAUCAAAAUCAUCUUCAAUAGUACCUAUGGGCUUAUCAUCAAGAUAAUAGUGAAUGCAAUCAAGCUCACCAACCUCCAUAAACUUAUGUUUGUUAGGAUAAAAGUUGAUGCGAGGAAUAUGCUCAGGCCAGGUUGAUACCCAUUCUUCUUCCUUCUUGUUCCUCUUCCUCCUCUUAUUUUUAUCUUUCUUCACCUUAGGAGGGAGUGGUUGGAGAGGAAGAUUCUCCAAAUAUUCUGCUUUAUCAUUAGAAACAAUAGGGGAACCUUGGGAGAAACUCUCUUUUUUAUUAGUGGAAACAUAAGAGGCAUUUUUAUGCUUUGGUAAAGUUCCCUCCUUUCUAAUCUUACUUAUCUAAUCAUUUUCAUGGAAAUUAACAACACAAUAGAGAUGGCAUUUUUGCAAAGUGUUGUUUAUUCCUAAGGCAUUAUUAUCUAGCCAAGAAGUUUUUUCUGAUAACUCUUCACACAUCAAAAAUAACAUAAGUUCAUCAUAAAGAUCAGAAGUAACCAUGUUAUCACACAACUGGUUAACAAUUAUGUCUUGACAGUACACGCAUUGAAAAUUAAAGUGACCCUCUAUACCACAAAGUUCACAAGUAAAAGGAUAAAGGUCACAUAAUUCUCUAGCAAUUUCAUUUAAAUCUCUAACCCAAGUGAUUGUUCUUUCAUGCUUAUGUUUCUUACAAUACUUCUCUUCUUCAAUCAUAGGCCUUUCACAAGGUCUAUCCACUCCACAUAAAUUAACAUGCUUAUAUAAAACUUCAUUUUCAGGAAUUGGAUCAUGCAUGUUGCAAUUGUCAUUAACAAUUUCAUUUUCUUCGCAAAUCUCUUUAAAAGGUUCAUGAUGCUUGAUCCAAUUCUCCUUAGGCAUAUUAAGAUGUGAAGCAAAAGAUUUGAGAAAUCAACAAGGAGUUGAAAAUCAAGCCCAAACUUAGCACUAAACUUAUUAAAACUUGCAGUUUCAACAAAGGCCUUAAUGCAAUUAUACUCAUAAUUUAUACUUGACUCUUUACCUUUGUUGACCUCCCAAUCUUCAGUGUUGCGUUGAAUUCUUUCAAGGAGUUCCCAUUUAGCAUCAAUCCUUUCGUUUGUGAAAGAACUCAUAGAGGAAGCAUCGAGACAGUCUUUAUCCUAUCGAGAGAGCCUCGCAUAGAAAUUAGUAAUAAUCAUAUCUUUGGGGAGCCCAUGGUUAGGAAAUUUUAGCAUUAAAAUUUUCAGUCUCCCCCAAGCUUGAGCUAUGCUCUCUUCGUCAUGAGGAUAGAAAUUAUAAAUAUAAUUCCUAUUCUCAUGGACUUCAUGAAGAGGAUAAAACUUGGAGGAAAAUAGAGACUGAAUCUCUUCCCAAUCCCGUAGGUGAGAAUCAUCUAGUAGCCUAUACCAUUCCAAUGCUUUUCCUUUGAGUGACAAGGCAAAUAAUUUCCUCAUGACUCCAUCUCUUGUCAAACCUGAAAUCUUAAGUAACUCAUAGAGUUCUAUAAGUUUCAACAAAUGAAUACUAGGAUUGACUGUUCCAUCUCCUGCAUAACAAUCUUUCCUAAUAAUUUCAAUUAUCCCAAGUGGUAUUUUGAAUGGGAUACACUCAGCAGGUAGAGGAGACUUCUCUACCAUGGGUGUGGUAAAGCGGCCUUCCCCAAGCAGCGAACUAAGAGUGCAGUUUUGCAUAAGCCUAACUAGUGAAAAUAAAAACAAGAAACGAAAAGGUUUAAUUGCAAGAUCUAAAUAUAUACCUUCAAGCACUCGCCUCCCCGACAACGGCGCCAGAAAUAGCUUGAUGUCUACGUACGCUUCUAUUCUUGUAGACUAUGUUGGGCCUCCAAGCGCAGAGGUUUGUAGGACAGCAACAAUUUCCCUCAAGUGGAUGACCUAAGGUUUAUCGAACUCAGGGAAGUAGAGUUGAAGAUGGUUUCUCUCAAGCAACCCUGCAAUUAAGAAACAAGAAGUCUCUUGUGUCCCCAACACACGUAAUACAAUAGUAAAUUGUAUAGGUGCACUAGUUCAGCGAAGAGAUCAUAAAAUAUGGGUGAUAGGUGUGGCAAAGCAAGGUAAUAUAAAUCUGUAGUAAAAAUUACAGCAAGGUAGCAAGUGACAAAAGUGAGCAUAAACGGUGUAACAAUGGUGACAAACAAGGCCUAGGCUUCAUACUUUCACUAGUGGCAACUCCCAACAACAUUAACAUAGUAUAAUCACAUGAUAUUUCCACUAAAACAUGCAAUGGUGACGUACUCGGAGGUCAUUCCUUUGUGAUCAAGAGAGGACGAGAAUUAUGUAGGGCUACAAAAGCACACCUCAGAGUUUGUAGUUCUCAUCUAUGGAUUUCCGAGUGUCACCGCGGCCAUCCAAAAAGAGUACCACAAUCACCACAACGUAUCUCAAGGAUAGUCAAAGACAAACACCAAGAGACUCUCAAUCUUCAAUCAAUUCACAAAAGAGGAAAUCACUCAUGAAAAUAUUCUUCUAAUACAUGUCCAAUAGACCGCUGUCACCAUGGUCUCAGGGAUUAUACUAGAUAAGAUCAAGUGAGUACAUCAAUAAAAUACAUAGAAGAAGGGGAAACAUCAUGGGAUCACCCUAGGUUAACAUAGCCUAUGAUCACAAUCAAGAUCACAUCAUGGGAGAGAGAAUUAACCACAUAGCUAUUGUAGAAGACCUCAGCCCCGAGGAGGAACUAAUCCCGCUACAUGGAGGGAGGAAGCAACGUCGAUGGAGAUGAAUCCGGGGGCACUUCCCCAUUCCGGCAGGGUGCCGACAUAGGAAUUCUGGUCCCCGAAACUUGUUGGCGAUGGCGGCGGAGAUCGGAAUUGCUUCUGGAGAAAAGGGUUCCGGAAUCAGGGUUUCCUCCAUGGGGGUAAAAAUAGGAGCCAAGGUAGGGCUCCAAAGGAGGUGGGCCCCACCCAGGCGGCCUGGUGGCGCGGCCAGGAGGUAGGCCGCGCAGGGAGGCCGCCUGGGUGAGCCCUGGCUCCCCUCUGGCCCACCUUUGGUGCUCGUGAGGCUUCCGUCACGCUGAUUUUUAUAUAUUUUUCUCAAGAUUUUUGGGACUCUGUAAAUUGGGGUAAAAGUCCGUGCAAAAAAUACAUCAGCAGACAGAAACUGGCACUGGGUGCACUGAGUUACUAGGUUAGUUCAAAUAUGUGUAAAAAGAUAUGAAAGUGUAGCAAAACAUAUAACAAUGUCACCCAAAAGAGCAUGGAACAAACAUAAAUUAUAGAUACGUUUGGCACGUAUCAUGUUGCCUGGUCCAAUAUCCAACCGAGUGCUGCCUUUUUUGGUAGUGGAACAAGGGGUCUUGGUUUUUACCAUGUGGAUGCACCUAUUGCUAAUGAAUCUAAUUGGCUCAUUUUCCAAAAUUGUGUUGUGUUGAAUAUCAUCAAGGGGUUGUGGAUAGGGCUCUACUCCUAAGCCUAUUGACUGAUACUUUCUGUAUGUGAAAGCAGUGGCCAUGGCAGAUCAGGGAGAUAUCCCACAAAACCUUCCUCGUCAGAUUUCCACCUUGAAUGAAAGUAGAAGACCUUAUUGAGCUGUCGGGUUUCUGCCUCCGUCAAGAUGUUGGUGUUAAGAUGACUGAGUAAAAAGGUGCUUGUGAUCCUUUUGGGGAUUUAGUUGAAGCUUGGGUCCUGAUUGAAGGUAUUCCACCUAAAUGGUGUACUUGGAAAGUCUUUGCCUAGGUGUCUUCUAUGUUGGGGGUCUUAACAAAUAUUGAUUAGAAUGGAAUGUUUAGAACCUCUUUUGAGAAUGUUAGGGUCAACUUUGCUUGCAGGGACCCAACAAAAAUUCCUUUUGAAAGGUUGAUUGAAAUGAAGAAGAAGUUGUUCCUUCUCGAGUUUACUAUUGAGGGCUUUGAACACGUGGGUGGUGUGGACUCUGUUAUUGAUACCAUCUCUAAAGGUAAAUAUGAUGAUGCAAGUAGUGAUGAGGAAGAUACUGGGAGGAUAAGGAGGAAGUAUCCAAGGAUGAUAUGCAGGAUGAUCUUGUGGAUGAUGAUACCGCCAUUGAUGAGCUUGACAAAUCAAAUAUCCCUGGCAAGAAGAAUUAUGGCUCUAUUGGUAAAUCCAAAGCUUCUAUUUUUGGACGUCCUGCAGAUGCUGAUCAUGAAAGCUUCAUCAUAGAGGUUGUUGCUGCUAGGAGUUUUCCCAACAGAAACAUGGAUGUGGUGAGGGCUCUCUUGAUCCAGUAAUUGCUCAUGACAUUGGGUCUAGUCCUGAUGUUAUAGGUGGAAAAAAUAUUGAACUUGGGGGUUCUACCCCUGUUAACUUAGGGCAUGUUUAUUUGAUGGGUGUGGAAAAAUCUGAGAAUAAGGAGUAUUGUGACUCAUUAUUAAAAUCGGUUGAUAUGUGACUAUGAGGAUGAGAUGGACUUAAAAGAGGAUGUGAUGCUGGGGACUCUUCCCUCUGAAACUAUGCAGAUGCUUCAAUUUUCAGGCCUGAAGAGGUCCUUGAUGGACUCUCUGAAUCAGGCUCAGGAGGUUCCACCCAAGAAUCCUAAGUGGGGGUCAAUUAUGGCAUCUAAAUAUGCUACCAUGGGGCAUGACAAUAUAAACAUCAUGGAGAAACCUGUUGCUUACAAGAUGAAAAAGAAAUUGGAAAUUCCUAUAACAUACAAAGGUAAAUCAGUCCUAAUAAGUUGAUUGAUCAAGUUUCUAAGAUUGAUUUGGUUAUGAGGGGGUAGCUCUAGUAAGUUGGAUAUCAUUGAAGAUUUAAUUGUUAGGGAGCAAGAUAAUUGCUUAGCUUUUGCUAAUGGCCAUCCUGAAGUGGUCCCGCGUGACAACUUAGAUGUGGUUCAUGAAGCCAGUUGGGGUUUCCCCUCUGAGAAUAGUAGGCACUGCUGUUUUGUUAGGGGCUGCUCCUACUGUCCCUACUAAAGGUAUGCCUUGUGGCCUAUCUCAUCCUUCUAAAAUAUCUUAGUUAUGAUAGUCUUAAUUUGGAAUAUUAGGGGUAUGGGGCAAGAUGGUAAAAAUUCAGUGCCUUUGUGAUGUGAUUCCUAGAACUAAUCUUGAUUUAAUGGGUUCCAAGAAACCAAAAAAGAGACUAUUUCUGAGGGUUUUCUCAAAGCUUUAGAUAGUUUGGGAGAUUUCAUGUGGCAUUUUUUUCCUGCUGAUAAUACUGCUGGGGGUAUCUUACUUGGUUUAGAAAGAGACAUGUUUGAUGUUAUUGGCUUCAUUAAUACUAGAUUCUCCAUUAAAGCCAUUGUCAAGAACAGGAAUGAUGGUUUUCUUUGGAAUCUUGUGGUGGUUUAUGGAUCAACUUAUCGUGAGUUUAAGAUGGAUUUCGUAUCUGAAUUACAUGAUACUCUUUGUUCUGCUACUUGUCCUGUUUUCAUUUGUGGUGACUUCAAUUUAGCGAGAGGAGAUGAGGACAAAAGUAGUGGUCUAGUUAACCAACAGAUCACUUUUUUGUUUAAUGACUUGGUUAAUAGAUGGGCAAUACUCUAAAUUCCUAUAGCUAAUAGGAAGUUUACUUGGUCCAACAAUCAAGACAAUCCUGUUUUUGCUGUUUUGGACAGAGUGUUCACUUCUCUGGAUUGGUAUGCUUAUUUCCCUAUGUUAUCAUUAUGUGCUCUUCCUAGGGUAGGUAGUGAUCAUACUCCUUUGGUUUUUGAUACUGGUGCCAGGAUUCCCUGUUGUACUUUUUAGGUUUGAGAAAUGGUGGCUCUCUCAACCUGGCAUUCCCAGAUUCUUGAGAAAGCUUCGACUUCUGGCUGCUCCUCCAAUGGUUCUGUAGAUAACUAGAUGGCUAAAACAAGAAACUUGAGGAAAAAAAUUGAAAGGAUGGAGUAUUAACCUAGAAGCAGCCAUGAAAAAAAGAAAAGGCCCUCCUUAUGGAGUUUGAUAUUCUGGAUGUCUUAUGUGAAUCACAACAGUUGUGUGUUGUUGACUUUGAUAGAAUGAAAGAUAUUAAAAAAACUUGAUCAUAUAUGGAAAAAAGAGGAGACUGCCUUAUGGCAGAGAUCUAGGGAUCGGAAGAUUCUAGAAGGUGAUCGUAAUAAUUCCUAUUUUCAUGCACUAGCUGAUCAUAGACAUAGGAAGAACCAUCUUUCAUAAAUGUUGGCUCCUGGGGGGGGGGUGAAUUCCACAGAAGACAUGUUGAAUGUAGCUACUGAUUUUUAUAAAACCCUUUUUGAUUUUGAACCCAAACCUGAUAUCCAUUUGGAUGCUAAUUUCUGGUCAGAAGAAGAGAUGAUCUCUAAAUCUGACAGAGUAGAUCUUGAGAAACCCUUUUGUGAGGAGGAAAUCAAGCAAGCCAUCAUGAGCUCUUAUAGCUGUGGAGCACCUGGCCCUGUUGGCCUUUCUUUUCUGUUUUACCAAAAGUUUUGGAAUGUGGUUAGGGAUGAUUUUAUGUGGAUGGUGAGACAUUUUGAAGGUCAGACUUUAGAUAUUCAUAGACUUAAUUUUGCUUUCAUCACUCUUAUCCCUCAAACUCUUCGGGCUAGGGAGAUGAGAAAUUUUAGGCCUAUUAGUUUGAGCAAUUGUGUUGUCAAAAUCUUCUCUAGGGCCCUGACAACCAGAGUUUCUCGUGUGUGUGACAAGCUUAUCUCUCACAACUAGAAUGCAUUUAUUAAAGGGAGAUUUAUCCUUGAAAGUGUAGUGAUGGAUCAUGAAGUUAUUCAUGAGGUGCAUAGCUCUGGUUCUGGGGGUUGAUUCUAAAACUAUAUUAUGAAAAAGCUUAUGACAUACUCCCUUCGUCCAGAAUUACUUGUCGCACAAAUAGAUAAAAAUGGAUGUAUUUAGAACUAAAAUACAUCUAGAUACAUCCAUUCCUAUGACAAGUAUUUUCGGAUGGAGGGAGUAGUUAGUUGGGACUUUCUUAAAGAGAUGCUCCUUUCUAGAGGCUUUGGGGGAAAAUGGGUUGGUGUGUCUUUAGUAUUUUGCAACAGGGGGCUUUUUAGGUUAGGAUCAAUGACAAGAAUGGGACACAUUUUAUUGGGAAUAAAGGUCUCAAGCAAGGUGAUCCUCAUUCACCUGUGCCUUUUAAUUUGGUGGCCGAUGUGUUUACCAAAAUGUUGGCUAAAGCUGCUAGACAUGAUCUAAUUGUUUGAUUACUUCCACAUGUUAUUCCGGGUGGUGUGGUUAGUCUUCAAUAUGUUGAUGACACUAUUUAUUCCUUCAAGACUCUUUGAAUAUGCUAGAAAACUUAAAUGGAUUCUUACCUGCUUUGAAAAAUUGUAUGGGCUUAAAAUUAACUUCCAUAAGAGUGAUCUUCACAUUCUCCAUGUCUGUGAAGAUAUGUCUAAAGGAUUUGCUCAAUUUUCUUGCUGCCACUUUGGGGAUUUCCCCUUUAAGUAUCUUGAGUCCCUAUGCAUUAUAAGAAGUUGAGAAGGGAGAAUGUGCGACCUAUCAUUGAUAGGAUUAUCAAAUGUAUUGCUUGGUGGCUUGGUAGGAAUCUUUCCUACAGAGGUAAAUUGAUCUUAUUAACUACAUGCAUUGCGAGCAUCCUAUUUACCUUAUGUCUAUUAUCAAAUUUCCUAAAUGGGCCAUUGAUGCCAUCAAUUCUCAGAUGUCCCAUUUCGAUUGGGGGAAUAUGGGGGAUGUCCAUAAAUAUCAUCUGGCUAAUUAGGUUUUGGUGACUAGGAGGAACGAAUUUGGAGGAUUAGGGGUUCCUAAUUUGAAGGAGGUUAAUAUGUCUCUACUUGCCUCUCGGGGUAAAAGAUUUUAUGAGGGGGGAUAAAGAUUGGAAAAAUAUCAUCUUCUAUAAAUAUGGGGUUGAGAAACCAAACUUAUAUUAGGCUAAACCUGUAUUAGGGACACCUUUCUUGAACAGUGCGACCUGGGCACUAGGGGCAGCUAAAAACUUUGUUAGAUGGGUUCCUAGUAAUGGGGAGAACAUUGCCUUUUGGCAUGACAUUUGGAUAGGGGAUUGUUCUUUAAAAACUCUCUUUUGGGAUCUUUUUGAGAUUUGCCAACAACAAGAGGCUUCUCUUGCUCAAGUGUGGGAUGGGGACCAGUUGCACCUGACCUUUAGGAGAUGUGUGGAUGCUAGAUUGAUGGACUGUUGGUUCAAACUGAAUUCUUUGGCAAGAACCUUUAGUCCCUCCACUAAGGUGGAUGCCCCCUGGUGGACUCCUGAAGCAUCUUGUAGAUAUUCUGUGAGGUCAUUCUACAAGAUGAUUAACUCUCAUGGAGUUUCUUCUCACAUUAAAGACUUCAUUUGGAAAAUUAAAGUGCCUCCCAACAUACAUUUCUUUCUUUGGCUCGCUUGUUAGAACAAAUAUUUUACUAGAGAUAACUUAGCAAAAAGGAGACACGUUGAUGACCCAACUUGUGUGUUUUGUAGUGAGCAUGAAUCUAUUCAACACUUGUUCUUCGAGUGCAUUGUUGCUAAGGGGAUCUGGUCUAUUAUUUCCGAUACCUAUGGUAUUUCUGCACCCUUCUCUUUUGAUGAUAUAGCGGUUUUUUGGAAGCAGAAAAAAUGUAGUGAGGCUGUUAGCAUUAUAUCAUCUGCCACCUUGUGGGGCUUAUGGCUGUUUCGCAAUGAAUUUGUCUUUCACGGGAGGAGGUGGCGAAACAUGCGGUGUAUAAUGGAUCUGGUGGGGGAUUUUGUAAGGAAAUGGAAAGUGCCGUGCUCGGACACCGAGGGUGUGCUUCUUCUUCGAUGUUUAAGGCUCUAGAACUAUCCAAUAGGGGAUUUGCUCAGGAUCGCGUGGUAGCUAUGUCAAGGUUGGCAGAGUGGAGUAGCAUUUUGGCAUUGUUGUUGCAUAUCUCUAUGAUUCCUCUCUUUGCCAUGUAAAAUGCUUUGUAAUAGGGAUUAAACUAGGUGUACUUUACGCCAUUGUUUCUACGGCUGCUACCUUAGUCUGUUAGCCGAGGAUUGAUACUUUUGGAUGGUUUGCUUUGCCUUGGCUUUAAUAAAGUUCGUGCUGGCGGGAGACCCCUCUCAUUUCAAAAGAAAAAUGGCUACAUGACUGGCACAUCAACGGCUCUUAGACUAUUCAUACUGGGACCUAUUUGCAAACUUGUCAUUUUUCUAACUUAUCUUAGCUAAGUGGCAUAUAGAGUAAAAGAAAUCUGCAUUGCACGUAACUCGAAGCUACAACCUUUCAAAUUUAGCAAGCAACCGCAAACCAUUGGGACACAAUCUGACAUGUUAAAUUAGAAGUAACCAAUACUAUAUGUAUUAAUAUGGAAACCAGGAGAUUUCAUGCAAUCAGCUUUUGUUUCUUUUUUUGUGGGUGGAUCCCAUGCAAUCAGCUUUUGUUUCUUUUUUUGUGGGUGGAUCCCAUGCAAUCAGCUGAUCGAUUUCCUUCGAGUGUUAUCUGAUAGAUUUCUUUAUAUUUACAAUCCUAUCAAGCACUACAUGUUCGCUCGUUCCUUGCCUUUUGACAUUAAUUGUUUGGAAACAACACCUUUAAAAAAAUAUGUAACACUAUUAUGCAUGGAAGGUUUAAUGUCAACGUAAUUAUGGUAACAUAUACAGUUGGAUGCAACUUAUUACAUAAGUCAGGUUGUGUUCCAAUGGUUAGAGCAACUCAAACCGCGCCACUCAAACGGACGCACGCUUUGUCCACCUUUUGUUUUUUGGGUUGGCGUGUCCGUCCUCUGUUGCAAAUGGGUCAACUGUUCGUCCAAUGCGUUGACUCAUUCUUUGUCCGCGCCUAACAAUUUUCAAAGGUAAAAAAGGCCCGCGACCAUCGAUCAUGCUAGCGGCCAUGCCAGCGCCAAGAGUUCACGCCAGCGAUAUACCAGCGACCAGCAUACAUAUGCGAGCCUACAAAAAGAAUAAGUAGUUUUUCGAGGUGGACGCACUUGCCAGCAGGUCGGCACACAUGCCAACACACAAAUGAGGAUGUAGUUCCACCAUGCCAUCUCGUUUGUGGUCAUCAUGCCCGCAGACCACGACAUGGAUCACUCGUCUUCGAGGUUGAGCAUGUCAGCCAAUAUCUUCUCGAGCCAAGACCGCUUCCUCGGAGAGACAACGCUCAAGUCUACCUUCAUGAUCUAGACUCCCUUCGUCAUGGAAGCGAGCCAAACUUCUCAUGCUCUAGUGGUUUCUUUGGUGUCCUCGAUUUCUAGCAUCUUCGCUUGCUUCUCCGCCUCCAACGUGAGCCUCUUGUUUGGUAUGUCCAUGAAGGCCCUAAUUUGCUCCUCCUUGUCUUGUCGGUGCUUCUCCUCUCUUGGAUCCUUGUUGACGAUCAUGUCUUGCAAAGUAGCUUGCAAGGCAAGGGAUGCGGCCUCGCGCUUGUCCUCUUUCUUGGACUUGGUCUUGCCUCGCAGUCGCGACGACUCCCCCUCACCAUGGUCCUCAAUGGUUGCAGGCCCCCACGCAUCUUGACGGCAGUGUAUUGCGCUUUGUACUUCUCUUUGCCGUUGAUGAUCAUCCAAUAACGAGUGAGGUCGAAAAACUUGCCCUCAUAAUGGACCUUGAAUGCUUCCAAAGCUUGAAAGACCUACAAAUGGACAAACAACAUUUAUGGACGAGUUGAUAAGUGGACGAGCAAGCUAAGGGACAAUCAAAAAAGCAAGCAUGCCGGACAUACCAUGUCUUUCAUGCUAAUCCAGUCAUAGGACGUGCCUCGAUGCUCUCAAGGGUGGAACAAAACUUGUUGCACUCUUGUUGUAUCACCCUCCAUCGUUUGUUGAGCGAGACCCGUCCAUGAUUGCUCUCCAUUUGGUAUAGCUUGAGAUUCUUGCGCUCAUGAAACUCGCGAUGCACUCUUAGCCUAAAUGACAAAUCCUUUUGCUUAGAGCCUAUCUUGGGGUCUUGGCCAAUGUAUCUCCAACAUCCACAAAGAAGUUUGUCCUCACUUUGUAUGUAUGCUUUGGUUCAGUUGCUCUUCUGCUUCUUCUCUGAAUUGCUUUAGGCGGGGAUCUCAUUGAACAAUGGCUCUCCAUCAAUGUCCACUUCAUUAUCCUCUUCUUCAAGGCCAUAGUCUUCGAGGAACUCAUGAUCAAGCAGGAAAGAGGUGGGCAAGCCGAGUUGGUCCGUCAUGAGUGGUUCUGCCAUGUCUUCACCAAAUGGGUACCCAAUGCCAUCGUGACCGAUCAUGAAAGGGGUGCGGCCAUCCUGGCUUUGCAUCUCGUCAGGAUCGAAGGGAAUGCGCUGCCACCACCUUCAUAGUUGAGGCUCUCCAUGAACAUGCGGUUGGCAUUCUAUCGAAGAGGUUGCGGGUGUUCCCCAGGGCGUCGACUGGGAGCUCGCAAGGCCCUUAGGGGUGCACCCCCGGAGGAUGAUCCACACACCAUAGGUAUCAUGUUGAGAUCGAUGGCCGCGGGCACUGGCGUGGUAGGCGCGACCACGCUCACCUCCGGUGAACCGGAGCAUGUAGAGUUGGGCAACCGGGAGGUUUGCGGGUGUUGCCUUCGAAGCCUUUCUCCUGCGGGGCAGUGGACAUGCACGACGACAGCGGCAAUGAUCAACUGGUGCUGGUCGCGCACACAGCGACAUCGACGAGCCCGUGCUAGCCUGGGUUCAACCCUAGCAUCAGAAGGGCCUGCCUCAUGGCGGCAACGAUGAGCCGGUGGUUCUAUGCGGCUUCGGGCUCCUGAUCUAUGAUGACGGCGAUGCUGGACGCGGUCGCAGCCUCCUCCCUGGCCUCUUGCUCAUGCCGGCGGUGCUUCAUCCUCGUCGAUUGGAUGGCGCACUCCUCAAGCGUAAGAACCUUCUUCUUCCUGGUCAUCGCUGACCCUUUGUGUUCGCCCUUGACACAGACAGUACCGGCGGAGGCGUGUGAGGCGAGGCCGGCGGCGACGUCGAGGGUCGGCGCGUCGUCGUCCAUGAAGCGCGCGAGUGGGCACAAGGUUUUUGGGAAAUUGGAAGGGAAUGGUGGAGCCGUGCCACCGAUGGGUGGGCCAAUUGGGAGAAGGCACGCGUCACGCGCGUCCGUCCUGUGUCUGUGCCGACGAAAAUCUGACGCAAAUUUGAGCCUGAAAUGAAUCACGAGCAACGAAAAAAUGGACGCACGUUCGUUUGGGUCAGCACGUUGGGCUACGUUUCGUGUCCACGGUGACACAAACGGACAUGCAUGGACGAAAUGAGUCGCGCGGUUGGAGUUGCUCUUAGAGCAAGUACAAUAGAUCUGAGUUAGCUGGCUAUAAGGAAUAAACUAAUAUAUUUUUAUUUAGUUAGAGGAAAGAGGAGAGGAGAGAGAAGGUAAGCGGGCUCCUAGGCAUUUUGUGAGUAUGAAAGGUGGACCAUAUAAUAAAAAAGUAAUACACUUUUGCAAUGAACUAUUGUACUGUUGGAAUUAUGCCCUAGAGGCAAUAAUAAAUAUAGUUAUUAUUAUAAUUCCUGUAUCAAGAUAAUCGUUUAUUAUCCAUGCUANNNNNNNNNNNNNNNNNNNNNNNNNNNNNNNNNNNNNNNNNNNNNNNNNNNNNNNNNNNNNNNNNNNNNNNNNNNNNNNNNNNNNNNNNNNNNNNNNNNNNNNNNNNNNNNNNNNNNNNNNNNNNNNNNNNNNNNNNNNNNNNNNNNNNNNNNNNNNNNNNNNNNNNNNNNNNNNNNNNNNNNNNNNNNNNNNNNNNNNNNNNNNNNNNNNNNNNNNNNNNNNNNNNNNNNNNNNNNNNNNNNNNNNNNNNNNNNNNNNNNNNNNNNNNNNNNNNNNNNNNNNNNNNNNNNNNNNNNNNNNNNNNNNNNNNNNNNNNNNNNNNNNNNNNNNNNNNNNNNNNNNNNNNNNNNNNNNNNNNNNNNNNNNNNNNNNNNNNNNNNNNNNNNNNNNNNNNNNNNNNNNNNNNNNNNNNNNNNNNNNNNNNNNNNNNNNNNNNNNNNNNNNNNNNNNNNNNNNNNNNNNNNNNNNNNNNNNNNNNNNNNNNNNNNNNNNNNNNNNNNNNNNNNNNNNNNNNNNNNNNNNNNNNNNNNNNNNNNNNNNNNNNNNNNNNNNNNNNNNNNNNNNNNNNNNNNNNNNNNNNNNNNNNNNNNNNNNNNNNNNNNNNNNNNNNNNNNNNNNNNNNNNNNNNNNNNNNNNNNNNNNNNNNNNNNNNNNNNNNNNNNNNNNNNNNNNNNNNNNNNNNNNNNNNNNNNNNNNNNNNNNNNNNNNNNNNNNNNNNNNNNNNNNNNNNNNNNNNNNNNNNNNNNNNNNNNNNNNNNNNNNNNNNNNNNNNNNNNNNNNNNNNNNNNNNNNNNNNNNNNNNNNNNNNNNNNNNNNNNNNNNNNNNNNNNNNNNNNNNNNNNNNNNNNNNNNNNNNNNNNNNNNNNNNNNNNNNNNNNNNNNNNNNNNNNNNNNNNNNNNNNNNNNNNNNNNNNNNNNNNNNNNNNNNNNNNNNNNNNNNNNNNNNNNNNNNNNNNNNNNNNNNNNNNNNNNNNNNNNNNNNNNNNNNNNNNNNNNNNNNNNNNNNNNNNNNNNNNNNNNNNNNNNNNNNNNNNNNNNNNNNNNNNNNNNNNNNNNNNNNNNNNNNNNNNNNNNNNNNNNNNNNNNNNNNNNNNNNNNNNNNNNNNNNNNNNNNNNNNNNNNNNNNNNNNNNNNNNNNNNNNNNNNNNNNNNNNNNNNNNNNNNNNNNNNNNNNNNNNNNNNNNNNNNNNNNNNNNNNNNNNNNNNNNNNNNNNNNNNNNNNNNNNNNNNNNNNNNNNNNNNNNNNNNNNNNNNNNNNNNNNNNNNNNNNNNNNNNNNNNNNNNNNNNNNNNNNNNNNNNNNNNNNNNNNNNNNNNNNNNNNNNNNNNNNNNNNNNNNNNNNNNNNNNNNNNNNNNNNNNNNNNNNNNNNNNNNNNAGGAGUCUCUCGGGUCAUAUCUACAUAGUUCUCGAACCCGCAGGGUCUGCACACUUAAGGUUCGACGUUGUUUUAUGCGUAUUUGAGUUAUAUGGUUGGUUACGGAAUGUUGUUCGGAGUCCCGGAUGAGAUCACGGACGUCACAAGGGUUUCCGGAAUGGUCCGGAAACGAAGAUUGAUAUAUAGGAUGACCUCAUUUGAUUACCAGAAGGUUUUCGGAGUUACCGGGAAUGUACCGGGAAUGACGAAUGGGUUCCGGGAGUUCACCGGGGGGGCAACCCACCCCGGGGAAGCCCAUAGGCCUUGCGGGUGGCGCACCAGCCCUUAGUGGGCUGGUGGGACAGACCAAAAGGGCCCUAUGCGCCUAGGAAAGAAAAUCAAAGAGAAAAAAAAAA